UCGGAAUAUUGAAAUUUCAAGAAUUUUGGGUUCUGCAAUCAAUGAAUAUUCUACCCUUGGAAUAAUGAACUUAUAAUAACUCUGGCAUUGUAUAUGAAUAAAGAUGAAACUAUUCGAGUUAUAUUUUUACGAUGAACCCAUGUGACUUGUGCACACACGUGUAUGUAUACUGUAGAACCCAAUUUUGCCCAGACCCGGACCCAAGAACCAAAACCAAUUAACUCACCCAACUAGCCUAACCCGGAACCCAAUUACAAACAGACCCAAUUACCAUUAACCUAACCUACCCAACCCAUUACAGAACAGGCCCAAACCCGAGGCCCAAUGUCUUAGCCCAGUAAGCUAACAGCCAAAACUAGGGUUUCAGAAAGUCUGAAACCCUAGCGCUGCACCUAGUACUGCCGCCGCAUGUCCCAUCGGCCACUUGCCCCAGACCUACCGCCACUCCUCUGGUAGCCACCAACUCCACCGCCAUCAUCACAUCACCUGCAAAGAAGAUGGCAAACACGCAAGCAGAAACGAAGAAAAAAUCUAUUUUUCUCUUCUUUCUUUCGGCUAUAAAAGCCAUCAAAAUAUGUAAUUUUGGGGGUUUUUUUUUUCUAGCGAUUUUUGUAACACAAAAACGAACAUUAGCAGAGAAAUAUAAGAACAAAAGAGAUUCAAGGUGAUUUGGAGUUUCCUUUUCCGUUCAUAGAUGUUUUAACUUUUUAUUUAUUUGUAUUUUCUUUUUUUUCGUCUAUUUAUAUAUNNNNNNNNNNNNNNNNNNNNNNNNNNNNNNNNNNNNNNNNNNNNNNNNNNNNNNNNNNNNNNNNNNNNNNNNNNNNNNNNNNNNNNNNNNNNNNNNNNNNCACCUGAUUCGUUUUUUCGGUUGCGCCGCCGUUGGGAUCUGCCCAUCGUUGAAAUCGGCCUCGAAAGUCUGAGUUAGGGGGUCUCUCCUUUGGAUCUUUCGGUUAGACGAAUUUUGCCUUCAAUCGGGCCUUGGAGUGAGAACUAAAUCGCCCUCUUGCGCGAGGUCGGCCACCGCCCGUGGUGGCGCAACGGCGGCGCUGGUAUGGCUCAAAGGCCUGGCUUUUGAGAGGAAAUGUGGGGUUUUUUUUAGGGGAUCAGUUAACAUGAAUUUUUUCAGAAAAAUUGGGUUUAAAUACCCAAAUUGAAACGGCGCCGUUUAAGACAGGGGAUCCGCGUGUCGACCCGACCCGACCCGGAGGAUCCGCGUGUUUUUUAGUUUUUGGACUAUUUGCGCGCGCAGUCCCCCUGAUUUUGCAGCGUGNNNNNNNNNNNNNNNNNNNNNNNNNNNNNNNNNNNNNNNNNNNNNNNNNNNNNNNNNNNNNNNNNNNNNNNNNNNNNNNNNNNNNNNNNNNNNNNNNNNNCUUUUUUUCGUUAUUUUCUCUUAUUUUUAAUUUAGCCCCUGCAAUUUCAUUUUGUUCCGACUUGGCCCAUUUCAACGCUGCGUUUUGGGCCUGUGGUUUAUUUGCAGUUUUGGCCUUUCCCUUUUCAGCACGCGUUGCAAUUUGGUCCUUUUUGUUUUUUUAUUUCGAUUUCGCCCAGCACUUCCGUUUUUAUUCUGAUUUAAUCCAUAUUUUAGCAAUUUUAUUAUUAUUAUUAUUAUUAUUAUUAUUAUUAUUAUUAUUGUUAUUAUUAUUAUUAUAAUUGUUUUUAUGCAUAUGCGUAUUUUUUUUAACUUAUUUAAUAUGUAAACACUCAUUUUUAUAUACAUAUCUAUCUAUCUAUCUAUAUAUAUAAUUAAAACAUGUAUAUUAUAUAUAUUAUUAUUUCAUAUCUAUUUUUUUUAUUUUUUAAAAUACGUAUAUUAUAUAUUAUCUUAUUUUAUUUUUAUAAUCCACAUAUGUAUAUUUUUUAUCUACAUACAUAUCUUCUUAUGUUUUGUAAUAUUUAUGCCUUUCUUAAUAUAUAUAUGUACAUAUUUUAACCUUUGUAAAUACAUAUAUAUAUAUAUAUUUAUAUAUAUACAUAUAUUUUAAUUUUUGCCUAUAUAUAUCUUUAUAUUUAAUCGUAUUUACUAUUUAUUUGUUUCAUUUUCAUUUUUAUUUUGAAUAAAUGUUUUAAUUUCAUUUGUUUUUAUACUUUGUUAUUUUUAUGUUGUAGAUUUGGCCUUUUUAUAUCGUUGUUAUUGCUCGUAUUUUUUAUACUUUUUAUACUUUCAUAUUCAUUAUGGUUUUACCAUGCAUAAAAAAAUGUAAUUUGCUUUCGUAUUUUUUGUUACGGUUUUCGUGUUUUUUAUUAUACUCGAUUUAACAAAAUUUGUUUUGAAUAAAUAAUAUUUCGUGUUUAGAUUCGAGAAGGUCGUACCCUAACUUACUGGGUUUCGAUUUUCACGAUAAAUCUAAAUGUACGAAUCUUUUUGAACUCAAAUUUUAAAUGAUCUCGGGGUUAAAAAAAAAUCGCGUCCUAACUUACUGGUCGUGAUCUCGUUUAAAUCCGAAAGGGCUAAAAUUUUUAAAUAAACAUUUUUCAUUCGCGUAUCGAGAAUUCGAGACAUCGUGUUCUAACUUACUGGAUAUGACUCUCUUUCUCGAAUAACGUGAAAUAUGCUUCUUUUUAAAAUUUUUUUUAUAAUACAAGGAUCGUAUUUUUAAUUCCUUCAAGUUCUCAAUUUUCGACAUCAAAACAUUAGCUAAUCAACUAGGUACCAAUUUUGGGCGUAUCGAGGGUGCUAAUCCUUCCUCGUGCGUAACCGACUCCCGUACCCGUUUUCUAAAUUUCGUAGACUAAAACCGUUGUUUUAAUAAAAAUCAAAUUAUUUAUUAAAAACAUCCUUUUUCAAGGUGACCCAAUCACACCUCAAAAAGGAUUGGUGGCGACUCCCGUUUCUUUUUUAAAAAAACCAAGUCGACCCCGUUUUCCGUCAAAAAAAAUGGUGUCAACAGCUUGGCGACUCCACUGGGGAAUUUUUCAAAAUAAGUGAGUCAAGCCACGAGUUGAUUACUUUUUGUUUUUUUGUCGAAAUUUGAAAACUUGAUUUAAAUAUACGAUCCUUUCAUUGCAUUUCAUUCGUUUGUAUUAUAAUUGUCAUUGUUGUGGUUUAUAAUUGUUGUGGUGGUUUAAAUUUUGGUAUCUUUUUGCACAUUGCAUUGCAUGACCGUUGGUCACACCUUUUAAGUGGAAGUGAGAAGCUACUCCUUCGUGAGGUUUUCACCUCCGUGCAGGAUAGUGGAUCACUUUCGGGAUACAUCUGUACCUAUGUCUUCGUGAGAUUUUCAUCUCCGUGCAGCCAUAGGGAAAUGUAUUCCCCUGAACUGAACUCGGUCUGUAUGAGUCUAUAAUGGGUGAAGAUCGAGGAAUCUGCUGGUUCGGGUACCCUAUCUUUAGAGCCAAACCUCAUGUAGUGAACCUUAGGACCUUACCCUAGGUAGAGCCACUCCAAACCCUAGUGGAAACACCGAUAUAUGCUUUUAUUCUUUCUGCAUUGUUUUGAAUUGUAUGUUUAUACCUGAUACUAACGUUUGCUGUUUUAUUUUGGAUGCAUGACAUUUCAACUGCAUGGCAUUUCAUUAUAAAAGACGUUGGUUCAUAUUCGGUUUCUAGAAAGAAAGCUUAUCAUGGAAAAGGGAUUUCUUGAUAAGGUGGAAGAUAAUGCGGCGGUCCGAAUUUGGUCAGAAACGACACAACGAGAGAAAGGGGAUAGUUUGGCUGAAGGAUAUGAAUCUGAGUUAUGGGACUUCACCCGUAUUAGCGUAACCCAGAACAAUUUGCAAGAAUUGAAAGAAAUUUGGGGCCAGUGGAACGAGGAGGACAGACGAUUGUUCUAUUCCGAUUAUGGGGAUUUGCCGUACUUGCUAGAUAUGAAGGUAGACAAGCACCUGUUUCGGGCUCUCGCGCAAUUUUGGAACCCCGCCUACAGUUGUUUUACGUUCGGAAAAGUCGACUUAGUACCUACGAUAGAAGAAUAUAUGGCUUUACUUCGGUGUUCGAAGAGUCAAGUCGAUAAAAUCUACUCAAGAGCUGCAAAUGCACCCUUUUUGAGAAGAUUGAUGAACAUAACAGGCAUGAGUGAGCAGUGGGUCACAGCCCGAAUCAAACAAAAAGGGGAUAACAAAUGUAUUUCUUGGAGGAAUUUGAAAGAUGUGGUCCUAGUGCAUCCAGAUUUACAAAAGAGAGUAGAUGUAUUCGCUUUGUGCCUAUACGGCUUAGUUAUCUUUCCCAAAGCUUUGGGGCAUAUUGAUGAGGCAGUCACUGAUCUAUUUGACCGUCUCGACAAGGGAGUUACUCCGAUUCCAGCAAUUUUAGCAGAAACAUUCAGAUCAUUGAAUGCCUGUCGACGAGCGGGUGAAGGCAGAUUCGUUGGAUGUGUACAGUUGUUACUUGCGUGGUUCCACAGUCAUUUUUGGAAAGUGGAUAAGGUGUCAUAUCGGGUCUUCUCUGAAAACUAUUCGCCACUAAAGGAGAUAGUAGGUACACCGAGAAGAGAUGAUAUUUCGAUGGAAAAAUGGAUGGCAAUUCUUCAGACCUUGCAAGAAGAGGACAUUGAAUGGAGAGCUCCGUGUUUACUUCCAGACGAAAUUUUGUAUCGGUGUGGUGAUUUUGAUUGGGUCCCCCUACUUGGAAUCUGGGGAGCUAUUGGAUAUGCCCCGUUAUUAGUGCUCAGACAAUACCGGUCAAGACAGUUUAUACCCGCAACCCAGGGACUAGCCGUGUGUGAAUUCGCGUAUGGGGGUGAUGGUUACAAAAAGAAGAUUCGAGAGAUAUCCAAUGCGUGGAACCAAACUCGACGGAUGAAGAGGUUGGCUGUAGGACCGAUGACGACUCCUGAGUACGAUGAAUGGAGGGUCAGAAGAAUCAAUGACAAUAUUCCCAAAUCGAGUCAUGAAGGCAGUCAGUCAUUAGAAGAACAUUUAAAGGUCGUCCCUUCUGAACUGGAAAUUUUAAAACAGGAUUUCGAAAGAAGAACUGCAGAGUUGGAAAAACAGAUAGAGCAAAUGGAAGAGGAAAAGAUGAACUUAAGAUUGGACGCAGACGUUCAGAAGCUCGAGGCUGAACGAUUAAAAAAGGGGAAAGCUAGGGCUGAAGAAGAUCUUGAUAGUUUGAAAAUAGAUUAUAAGAAGUUGCGAUUAUCAAUAAGGACUGCCGGGUUGGGAAAAUCUUCUGAACAGUGGCGCAAAGAGAUUCAAGAAGAAAAGAAUAAGGCUGAUGAAUGGGAAAGGAGGUUCCAAGAAAUUCAAGCACAGAACGAGACUUUAAAGAGGAGUUUGUCGGAGAAUCAGAAAGAGAAAGGGGAGCUGGAGAAUAGAGUGACUGAAUUAGAAGGAUCUCUUCAUCGGCAUCGAAAUCGGAAUUCUGUGAUGGAAUUGAGGGCAAGCUUAAAUAGAAUUGAAGAAAUGAAGGAAAGAAUUGAAGGGUUAGAAGCAGCAUUGCGAAAUUGCGAGAUUCAGAUUGAGUACUUGGAAUCUAAUGAAGAUCGUCAAGCCAAGCAGUUGCACUACUUUCAGAACCAAGUAAGAGAUAGGGAUCACAUUAUGGGAGAAGCCGUGCUUCAAAUCAGAGAGGUGGCUGACCAUUUGCAGACGUUAGCAGUACAAGCUGAUGUGUUGAGCGUGAAGUACGAAUUAGAGUCAAGUCAAGGACAAGAGUUAGCCUCGUUACUUAAGAAAAUUAGAGUUUUGGGUAUUAGGGCUAAGUCGUAUCUGUAAUCCACCUUAUGUAAAGAAGUUUGUUUUCUAAUAAAGUUUUCAGAAUGGAAUUGAAUUAGAAUCAACGUCCCUUUUUUGCAUUCAUUUCAUGCAUUGCAUCACAUUAUAUGCAUUAACAACCAUUAAAGGACCCUAAUUGAAUAAAAUUAUUUCAGCUAACCUGGAAAAUCGACAUUGUUACGGCACCCGGGCUAAGUCAAAAAUAAUGGAACAAAGGUUGGAAAAACUAGAACGGCUUCAAAAGGAAAUGCAAGACCAGUUGCAAGCGCAAAUGAAAGAACAGGUGGAAAAGAUCGAGAAAGACAUGGUACAAAAGAUGAAGGAAUCUCAAGAUGACCUAAUGAUUAAAUUGACGCAAUUAAUAAAGGGAACGGAUAAAGGGAAAAGUCCUGUAAUUUGCGAUGAAGAAGGGAACAAUGAUGAACCACUUUUUCCUCCAGGAUUCACGCCUCCGCAUGCGCAAAUUCAGAUUGAAACACAUACACGAAAACCUUCUGUUUCGAUUAAGCCUCAGCAUUGUCAAGGUGAUGCUUCAAUAUCGAAGAACCUUCAGGUCGGAUAUGGUUCUGGUCUUGGUGAUAAUCUGGUUGUCCCGGAUUUCGAUGAAGUAGCGGAGAAAGACAAGAUGAAGGAAGAGUUACCAAAGCAGUUUGAGGAGAAAUGGAAAUGGAUUGAAGAAAAGUUUAGGGCGAUAGAAAGUAUCGACAGCUAUCGUGGAAUAGACGCGAAAGAUCUGAGCUUAGUUCCGGAUUUGGUGCUUCCUUACAAAUUUAAGAUGCCGGAAUUCGAAAAAUACAAUGGAACUAGUUGCCCUGAGGCUCACCUUGCUAUGUUCUGCAGGAGAAUGACGGGGUAUAUUAAUAAUGAUCAAUUAUUAAUACACUGCUUUCAGGAUAGUCUUACAGGCGCGGCGUUAAAAUAGUACAAUCAGCUAAGCCGAUCUAAAAUUGCUACUUGGAGAGAUUUGGCACAGGCAUUCAUGAAACAAUACGAUCAUGUCUCAAAAAUGAUGCCAGACAGGAUAACUCUGCAGAAUUUGGAGAAGAAAUCAAACGAGAGCUUUAGACAGUAUGCACAAAGGUGGAGAGAAAUGGCAGUGCAGGUGCAACCACCUCUUUUGGAGAAAGAAAUGACGACGCUUUUUAUUAAUACAUUGAAAGCCCCAUUCAUCACUCACAUGUUGGGAAGCGCUUCAAAGAAUUUCUCGGAUAUAAUCAUGAGCGGCGAAAUGAUCGAGCAUGUUAUUAAAAGUGGAAGAAUAGACGGAGGGGAGAACAAUAAAAGGACAGCCCCGAGGAAAAGAGAAAAUGAAGUGAAUAAUGUGAAUGCUUACAGUAAAUCAAUUACUGUAAGUCAACCAAGGAAAGUGGUCACUAAUCAACAGGGCUCAUCGAAGCAAGAGUCGGGAAUGAGGGAAAAUACUGAGAAGCCCCAGUUCACUCCCAUUCCAAUGACAUAUAAGGAGCUGUACCAGAAUUUAUUUAAUGCGCAUGUUGUCGCUCCUCGUUACUUGAGUCCUCUACAACCCCCAUAUCCAAAAUGGUAUGACACAAACGCUCAGUGUGACUAUCAUGUCGGAAUUUCAGGACACUCAAUAGAAAAUUGUACUGCUUUCAAGAAGGUAGUGGAAGGACUUAUCAAAUUGGGCGUUGUCAAAUUUGGUGAUUCACCUAACACGGAAAGUCCGUUGCCCAAUCAUGAUGAAGGAGUGAACGCGAUAAUUGAGAAUGGAGGAAGGAGAGUCAAAGCCAAUGUAGUAGAGAUAAGGACCCCCCUUGAAUGGAUUUGGAAGCAAAUGGUGAAAGGGGGUCGCAUCAAGCAAGAUUCAAUAGAAAGGCCUGAAGGAGCAAGUAAGUUUUGUGAGUUCCACGCAGAAGAAGGCCACGACAUCCAAAAAUGUACCGAAUUCAGAACCAUGGUGCAAAACUUAAUGGAUAACAAAGAGUUGGAGUUUUACGAAGAGAUUAAUGAACUAGAAGAAUGAGAAGUUUAUGCUGCAGAAGAAGGAUCCACGGGGAAAGUCCAAAAGGCUAGCCACCCAGUGGUAAUUAUUUCAAAACCAAUGAGCAGAGAAUCUGGAAUUCAAAUAGCGCCAAAGAUCAUAAUCCAAAAACCUGUAUCCUUUCCUUACAAGGAUAGCAAAAAGGUUCCUUGGAAUUACGACUGCAAUGUGACAAUUUCAGGGAAAGAAAGCUUGGUAAACGCUUCAGGAGAAGAUGAAGGAUUCUAUACACGAAGUGGAAAACGCUAUGAUCCGGCAAACGCGAGAGUGGAAUCCGGAAAAGGAAAAGCCUUAGCGGUUGAGUUGGGAAAAGCAAAAACAGACAAAAUUAAACCGCGAGUCAAUCAGCCGGUAACUGAAAAUGAGGCUAGAAAAUUUCUAAAAUUCUUGAAACAUAGCGAGUACAGCGUGGUAGAACAAUUGCAUAAACAACCGGCUCGUAUCUCGGUGCUCGAUUUGUUUAUAAGUUCGGAGAUACAUCGUAAUGCGUUAAUUAAGGUGCUAAAUGAAACUUAUGUCGCUCAUGAUAUCUCAGUGAAUAGGUUGGACCGCUUGGUUAACAAUAUCAGUGCCGACAAUUUCAUUUUCUUUAAUGAUGAUGAAAUACCGCCGGGGGGAAGAGGAGCCACCAAAGCAUUACAUAUCACUGCUCGUUGCGGGGAGUAUGCGUUAGCAGGAGUGCUAAUUGAUAAUGGGUCAGCCUUGAAUGUUUUACCCCUAUCCACCUUAAAUAGGUUACCAGUGGAUAGCUCUCACAUGAAAUCAUGCCAGAAUAUAGUGAGAGCAUUUGAUGGUACUGAAAGGAAGGUAAUGGGAAGAAUAGAAAUACCCCUCUUGAUUGGCCCGAAUAUAUACGAGGUGGAUUUUUUAGUGAUGGAUAUCAAGCCUUCGUAUAACUGCUUGUUAGGAAGACCCUGGAUUCAUUCAGCAGGAGCGGUGCCUUCAUCAUUACACCAGAAGUUGAAAUUGGUAGCAGAAGGACGGUUAAUUACGAUUGACGCUGAGGAAGAUAUCAUUGCAUCGGUAACCAGUGACGCACCAUAUUUGGGAACAGAUGAUGAGGCGGUUGAAUGUUCAUUUCGAUCCUUAGAGUUCGUAAAUGCAACCUCUGUUAUUGAAGAAAAGAAGAUCCUGAUGCCCAGCAUAUCUAGGGCCACGAGGAUGGGGCUACAAAUGACAGUUGGGAAAGGAGCUAUGCUCGGAAAAGGACUGGGAAGAUGCCUUCAAGGAAUGAUAGAGGCACCAGUGCUGAAGGACAAGCAAUACCGUUUUGGUUUAGGAUUUAAACCAAAUGCUAAGCAAAGAAGAAAUGAGUUGGAGAAAAGACAAGAGUGGAGGAAGGCACGUGUGAACGGAAAAGAAGUUAAUUGGGAACCGAUGGCUUUCCCCCACAUAUCCAAGACCUUUGUAUCGGGAGGAACCAUGUAUUCUGGACUGAGGACUCCAAGAAGGGAGAUCACAGAGGAAAUGCUAGGAAACUUGAACAUCAAUGCCAUAUCGGAAGAAAAAUCUGAAGAAGGAAGUACAUCAGGCAUCUAUCCCAUUGAACCUGGGAGUGUUUUAAACAAUUGGACUGCAGAAGAAAUGCCUGAAGUUUUUAGAGCUUUUUCAGAGUAAUAUUCAAAACAUGCUAAUUGUUAUAAGCUUAGAGAAAAUGAAACUUUUUGUGAAAUGAAAGGGGCUUAUAUUUGAACAUUGUGAUUUCAAUGAAAUAUAUUUUCGCAUUUUGAGUAUAUAUUCUUUUAUAAUUCUUUACAUUCUUUCACAUGAAUAGUCAUCUUGGAUGCCUUCAUUCCUGAUCAUUCUUUCAUUCAUUCAUGACCAUAUUAAAUAAGAAUUCUUAAAUUCAUACAUUCCCUGUACAUUUUUCGGUAUUUAUAACAGGUCUCAAGAUAUCAAUGACAUGAGUGACUCUACUAUGGACUUGGGAAAUCCUUUUGAUCGAGAUGUGUGUUUAGAGGAAUCUCAAGAUUUUGAAGAUAACACAGAUUGCAACCUAUCUCCGGACUUGUUGAGGAUGGUAGAGCAAGAAGAGAAACAAAUCCUACCUCACAAGGAGACAGUAGAGACAGUGACCCUAGAAGAGGGAAAGGUGGUGAAGAUUGGCACAUGCAUAGCUGAAGAAGUAAAACAAGACCUCAUUGAGUUGCUUCGAGAAUUCAAAGAUGUUUUCGCAUGGUCAUAUCAAGAUAUGCCGGGGCUAAGUACUGACAUUGUAGUACACCGACUUCCUAUAAAGGAAAAUUGCAAACCAGUUCAGCAAAAACUCCGAAGAAUGAGGCCAGAUGUUGUAUUAAAAAUAAAAGAGGAGGUGCAAAAGCAAUUCGACGCUGGAUUCCUGCAAGUGGUCAAAUACUCCGAGUGGGUGGCCAAUAUCGUUCCUGUCCCUAAGAAAGAUGGGAAGGUACGAAUGUGUGUAGAUUAUAGAGAUCUAAAUAAGGCUAGCCCAAAAGAUAACUUUCCCUUGCCGCACAUUGACACCUUGGUAGACAACACAGCGGGGCAUUCACUAUUUUCUUUCAUGGAUGGUUUCUCUGGAUAUAACCAAAUUAAGAUGCAUCCUGAGGAUAUGAAGAAAACUACAUUCAUAACCCUAUGGGGAACCUUUUGCUAUAAAGUGAUGCCAUUUGGGUUGAAAAAUGCAGGGCAACGUAUCAGAGGGCCAUGGUAACACUGUUUCAUGAUAUGAUGCAUAAGGAGUUGGAAGUCUAUGUUGAUGACAUGAUUGCGAAAUCUAAAACAGAAGAGGAACAUGUGCAGGUCCUUAAGAAAUUAUUUAUGAGGUUGAGAAAAUUUCAGCUAAAGUUAAAUCCAGCAAAAUGCACAUUUGGGGCCAGAUCAGGAAAAUUGCUUGGGUUUGUGGUCAGUGAGAGAGGAAUCGAGAUUGAUCCUGACAAAGUAAGAGCAAUACAAGAGUUACCUUCGCCGCGUACUCAAAAAGAGGUUCGAGGUUUUCUAGGAAGACUGAACUACAUCGCUCGGUUUAUUUCACAAUUAACCGAGAAAUGUGAUCCUAUAUUCCGUCUCCUUAAGAAACAUAAUCCAGGUGUAUGGGAUGAGGAGUGCCAAAAAACUUUUGNNNNNNNNNNNNNNNNNNNNNNNNNNNNNNNNNNNNNNNNNNNNNNNNNNNNNNNNNNNNNNNNNNNNNNNNNNNNNNNNNNNNNNNNNNNNNNNNNNNNNNNNNNNNNNNNNNNNNNNNNNNNNNNNNNNNNNNNNNNNNNNNNNNNNNNNNNNNNNNNNNNNNNNNNNNCCGAAUGCUAAACAAGAUGUUGUGCCCUGAUCUGGACAACUCGGAGACUGAGACAGUACAUGUUGUACCAUACCACCUGGUUAAUUUCUAAAUUGGACCCUCUGAAAUACUUGAUGGAAUCAACUGCUUUGAAUGGAAGAAUGGCCCGAUGGCAAAUUCUCCUAUCUAAAUUUGACAUAGUCUAUGUGAACCAGAAGGCUGUAAAAGGGAGUGCAAUAGCGGACUUCCUGGCAAGUAGGGCUCUGGAUGAUUAUGAGCCAUUGAACUUCGAUUUCCCAAAUGAGGAUUUGAUGUAUAUCGUAACUGUAGAGAAAGAUUUCCAAGAAGGUGGUCAUUGGAAGUUGAGUUUUGACGGAGCUUCAAAUGCUAUAGGCAACGGAAUUGGGGCAGUACUCGUGUCCCCUAGUGGAGAUCAUUACCCUUUUACUAGCAAAUUGGAUUUUGAUUGUACAAAUAACAUGGUUGAGUAUGAAGCUUGCAUUAUGGGCAUCCGAGCAGCCAUAGAAUGGAAAAUUAAGGUGCUAGAGAUAUUCAGGGACUCUACAUUAGUAAUUUACCAGCUCAAAGGGGAAUGGGAAACAAGAGACCCCAAGUUAGUCCGCUAUCGAAAAUUGGUUAUGGAAUUGAUUGAGGAAUUUGAUAGUGUCACCUUUAGUUAUCUCCCACGAGAUGAGAACCAGAUGGCUGAUGCUUUGGCUACCUUGGCAUCUAUGUUCAAAGUGAACAAGCUAGAGGAUAUGAAGCCUAUCCAGAUCAGCAUUUAUGAGGCUCCAGCCCAUUGUUGCAACAUCGACAAUGAAGGAGAAAAGGAUAAUCGCCCCUGGUACCAUGACAUAUUACGAUAUGUGAAGAGUCGUGAGUACCCUGACCAUGCGACGGAAAAUGAUAAGAAGACAUUGAGGAGAUUAGCCAUCGAUUAUGUCUUGGAUGGGGAUAUCUUGUAUAAAAGAGGAAAAGAUCAAGUAUUGUUGAGAUGUGUGGAUGCUGUCGAAGCUAAAGAAAUUUUGGAAGAAGUGCAUGAAGGUAUCUGUGGAACGCAUGCCAAUGGCUUCACGAUGGCCAGACAAAUUAUGAGAUUUGGGUACUAUUGGUCCACAAUGGAAGGGGAUUGCAUUAAUUAUGCCAAAAAGUGCCAUAAAUGUCAAAUCUAUGGUGACAAAAUGCACACACCACCGUCACCUCUUCAUGUUAUGGUUUCUCCAUGGCCUUUCUCCAUGUGGGGAAUGAAUGUUAUCGGGCCAAUAUCUCCGAAGGCUUCUAAUGGGCAUCGUUUUAUCUUUGUGGUUAUUGAUUACUUCACUAAAUGGGUGGAGGUUGCUUCGUAUGCAAAUGUCACGAAGUCAGCAGUUAGCAAGUUUCUGAAAAAAGAGAUCAUAUGUCGAUACGGGAUGCCUGAAAGGAUUAUAUCAGAUAAUGCACUAAACUUGAACAACAACUCAAUAGCGGAAGUUUGUAGUCAGUUCAAGAUCAAACACCACAAUUCGUCACCGUACCGUCCAAAAAUGAAUGGUGCCGUGGAAGCAGCUAACAAAAAUAUCAAGAAAAUUGUAGGGAAAAUGACUGAAACCUACAAGGACUGGCACGAGAAAUUACCUUUUGCCCUUCUGGCAUAUCGUACCUCUGUUAGGACCUCUACGGGGGCAACGCCGUUUUCUUUAGUCUAUGGGAUGGAGGCAGUUUUACCCAUAGAAGUUGAAAUUCCUUCUCUUCGAGUAUUAGCUGAACUAAAGUUGGAUGAGGCUGAAUGGAUUCAAUCUCGAUAUGACCAGCUGAACUUGGUAGAAGAAAAGAGGUUAAAAGCUAUUCGUCAUGGUCAGAUGUAUCAGAAACGAAUGAUGCGAGCCUAUAACAAAAAAGUUUGUCCCAGAGAAUUUUACGAGGGGGACUUGGUGUUGAAAAAGAUUCUUCCUCUACAAAAGGAUUUUAGAGGAAAAUGGAUGCCAAAUUGGGAAGGUCCAUAUGUGGUAAAAAAGGCUUUUUCAGGAGGGGCUUUAAUCUUAAGCGAAAUGGAUGGUAAAAGCCUGCCAAAUCUUGUGAACUCAGACUCAGUCAAGAAAUAUUUCACUUAAAAUUUGAAGGUCCAAAAAAAAAAACAAAACAAAACAAAACAAAAACAAAAAAAAAAGGGAAGGAGAGGCCAAGGUGAAAACCCGUAAAAAGGCGCUUUGAGACCAAAGGGGAUUUGAGUUGAAAACCUGAAAAAGGCGGCUCAAAUUUGGAUGAGGCAUGAGGUGAACAGAACAACUCAAAUUUUGAUCAAAAUCUGGGGCAUAUGGUGGUCUCGCUAUACUUGAAUCACAAGAAAGGGUAGGCGACAUCUUGGGGUAUCGACAAAAUACUGUAGAUUCCCUAAACACAUAUUAAAUGGUAAAAAAAAAACUUAUGCAGGGAAACUCGUGCUGCAAUAUCUGGGGCACCUGUUGUUAUCUUAUAUUUUGAAUUUUGGUAAAAUUUGUUGUCUUGAUUGAUGUAUUCAUUUCAAGCUUUGUCCCCAAUAAAAUUUCAUUUUGUUUAUUUUUCGUCCUAUCUUAGGAAAAUUUGUUAACUCAUUCAUUUCGAGAUUUGUUCUCAAUAUCAUUUUGUUUGUCCAUUGUGAUAAUUUCUUGGAAUAACGAUUAAUGGACUGAAUGUUCAGGCCAAAUGAGCUUUGCAUAUUACUCUAGAAAUUUCUAAAUAAUGAAGGAACCUGAAACAGGACCGUUGUUUAGAACACACCAAAUUUGAAAUGUCUAAAAGGAAAAAGUCUAAAUCAGGACUAUCCUUUUAAACUUUGUUGUCCAAACGUGGAUAAAACAAAAUGACAAAGGUCGUGUUAGGUGACAAGGCUUCAGUGAACAAACAAGCAAUAAUCACCGAGUGAUAAGGAAGAGGUUACCUCGGAGAAGAGAGCCUUCAUUUGCGUAUAAGUCUUUGGUAUGACACCCUGAGAAUGGUGUAGGAAACCAGAACGGUUCAGAUCCUAUAUCCUCGAAUUAUGAUAAAAGAAGACGGAGGAAAAGCCAUAUCUUUCUACCCUUGGGUUACAAUGGGAGUUUGAUGGUACAAAUUUCAUGUCCCAGUGGAUUGAACUUUGACGUUCACAAUGGGGGACAACUUGGCUAAGUGUUCCUUUAGAAAAGUUAGUCAAGCAAGAAGGUGCUGUAACACAUCAGUCACAAAACCUUGAUAAACUUCGAGUAGUGAUAACCUAAGCGAGAUCAUUCACGAAAAAUAAAAUUCUGCAUUCAUGCAAACACCAUUCACACAUGUCUAUCUAGGAGCAUUUGUUUCAUUUUGAUCAUGUCAUCCUAAUCAUUAGGCAUAAUUAGGUUCAUUAUACAGGUCUUAUUUCCCUGAGACUACAGUGGAACAGACCGAAGAAUUUUAGAUCUUAUCUCCCUGAGAUUGCAGCGGAGCAGAUUGAAGAUAGUAAUCCUAUCUCCCUGAGAUUACAGUGGAGCGGAUUAAAAUGAAGGAUCUUAUCUCUCUGAAGUUACAGCAGAGUAGAUCGUGUCAGGUCUUAUUUCCCUGAGAUUACAGUGGAACAGACCGAAGAAUUUCAGAUCUUAUCUCCCUGAGAUUACAGCGGAGCAGAUUGAAGCUAGUAAUCCUAUCUCCCUGAGAUUACAGUGGAGCGGAUUAAAAUGAAGGAUCUUAUCUCUCUGAAGUUACAGCAGAGUAGAUCGCGUUAGGUCUUAUUUCCCUGAGAUUACAGUGGGACAGACCGAAGAAUUUCAGAUCUUAUCUCCCUGAGAUUACAGCGGAGCAGAUUGAAGCCAGUAAUUCUAUCUCUCCGACGUUACGGAGUGGGUCGAAGCGCCAAUGCCUAUACCCCAAAAGUUGCUGCAAAGAAGAUUGAAGCUACAAGUCGGAUCUUGUUGAAGUGCAGUAGAGUGGAUUGAAGUGACAAGACACAGUAGACUAGAAUAAAGCUACUUGAAGAGGAGAAGCAUCAAAGAAGUCAAGACUCGGCGGGACCGGGCAAAAUUGGUUUUUUUUUAGUCUUUGCUCUGUUCUUGUUACACGACAACGAGCAAAGAGGGGCAGCUGUAGAACCCAAUUUUGCCCAGACCCGGACCCAAGAACCAAAACCAAUUAACUCACCCAACUAGCCUAACCCGGAACCCAAUUACAAACAGACCCAAUUACCAUUAACCUAACCUACCCAACCCAUUACAGAACAGGCCCAAACCCGAGGCCCAAUGUCUUAGCCCAGUAAGCUAACAGCCAAAACUAGGGUUUCAGAAAGUCUGAAACCCUAGCGCCGCACCUAGUACUGCCGCCGCAUGUCCCAUCGGCCACUUGCCCCAGACCUACCGCCACUCCUCUGGUAGCCACCAACUCCACCGCCAUCAUCACAUCACCUGCAAAGAAGAUGGCAAACACGCAAGCAGAAACGAAGAAAAAAUAUAUUUUUCUCUUCUUUCUUUCGGCUAUAAAAGCCAUCAAAAUAUGUAAUUUUGGGGGUUUUUUUUUCUAGCGAUUUUUGUAACACAAAAACGAACAUUAGCAGAGAAAUAUAAGAACAAAAGAGAUUCAAGGUGAUUUGGAGUUUCCUUUUCAGUUCAUAGAUGUUUUAACUUUUUAUUUAUUUGUAUUUUCUUUUUUUUCGUCUAUUUAUAUAUAUAAAUUAAAGAAAAGGAAGAAGAGGAGAACUCACCUGAUUNNNNNNNNNNNNNNNNNNNNNNNNNNNNNNNNNNNNNNNNNNNNNNNNNNNNNNNNNNNNNNNNNNNNNNNNNNNNNNNNNNNNNNNNNNNNNNNNNNNNNNNNNNNNNNNNNNNNNNNNNNNNNNNNNNNNNNNNNNNNNNNNNNNNNNNNNNNNNNNNNNNNNNNNNNNNNNNNNNNNNNNNNNNNNNNNNNNNNNNNNNNNNNNNNNNNNNNNNNNNNNNNNNNNNNNNUUUUUUUUAGGGGAUCAGUUAAAAUGAAAUUUUUUCAGAAAAAUUGGGUUUAAAUACCCAAAUUGAAAUGGCGCCGUUUAAGACAGGGGAUCCGCGUGUCGACCCGACCCGACCCGGAGGAUCCGCGUGUUUUUUAGUUUUUGGACUAUUUGCGCGCGCAGUCCCCCUGAUUUUGCAGCGUGUUAUAAUUUGAUCCUUUUUUUCGUUAUUUUCUCUUAUUUUUAAUUUAGCCCCUGCAAUUUCAUUUUGUUCCGACUUGGCCCAUUUCAACGCUGCGUUUUGGGCCUGUGGUUUAUUUGCAGUUUUGGCCUUUCCCUUUUCAGCACGGGUUGCAAUUUGGUCCUUUUUGUUUUUUAUUUCGAUUUCGCCCAGUACUUCCGUUUUUAUUCUGAUUUAAUCCAUAUUUUAGCAAUUUUAUUAUUAUUAUUAUUNNNNNNNNNNNNNNNNNNNNNNNNNNNNNNNNNNNNNNNNNNNNNNNNNNNNNNNNNNNNNNNNNNNNNNNNNNNNNNNNNNNNNNNNNNNNNNNNNNNNNNNNNNNNNNNNNNNNNNNNNNNNNNNNNNNNNNNNNNNNNNNNNNNNNNNNNNNNNNNNNNNNNNNNNNNNNNNNNNNNNNNNNNNNNNNNNNNNNNNNNNNNNNNNNNNNNNNNNNNNNNNNNNNNNNNNNNNNNNNNNNNNNNNNNNNNNNNNNNNNNNNNNNNNNNNNNNNNNNNNNNNNNNNNNNNNNNNNNNNNNNNNNNNNNNNNNNNNNNNNNNNNNNNNNNNNNNNNNNNNNNNNNNNNNNNNNNNNNNNNNNNNNNNNNNNNNNNNNNNNNNNNNNNNNNNNNNNNNNNNNNNNNNNNNNNNNNNNNNNNNNNNNNNNNNNNNNNNNNNNNNNNNNNNNNNNNNNNNNNNNNNNNNNNNNNNNNNNNNNNNNNNNNNNNNNNNNNNNNNNNNNNNNNNNNNNNNNNNNNNNNNNNNNNNNNNNNNNNNNNNNNNNNNNNNNNNNNNNNNNNNNNNNNNNNNNNUUCGUAUUUUUUGUUACGGUUUUCGUGUUUUUUAUUAUACUCGAUUUAACAAAAUUUGUUUUGAAUAAAUAAUAUUUCGUGUUUAGAUUCGAGAAGGUCGUACCCUAACUUACUGGGUUUCGAUUUUCACGAUAAAUCUAAAUGUACGAAUCUUUUUGAACUCAAAUUUUAAAUGAUCUCGGGGUUAAAAAAAAAUCGCGUCCUAACUUACUGGUCGUGAUCUCGUUUAAAUCCGAGAGGGCUAAAAUUUUUAAAUAAACAUUUUUCAUUCGCGUAUCGGGAAUUCGAGACAUCGUGUUCUAACUUACUGGAUAUGACUCUCUUUCUCGAAUAACGUGAAAUAUGCUUCUUUUUCAAUUUUUUUUAUAUAAUACAAGGAUCGUAUUUUUAAUUCCUUCAAGUUCUCAAUUUUCGACAUCAAAACAUUAGCUAAUCAACUAGGUACCAAUUUUGGGUGUAUCGAGGGUGCUAAUCCUUCCUCGUGCGUAACCGACCCGUUUUCUAAAUUUCGUAGACCAAAACCGUUGUUUUAAUAAAAAUCAAAUUAUUUAUUAAAAACAACAUUUUUUAAGGUGACCCAAUCACACCUCAAAAAGGAUUGGUGGCGACUCUCGUUUCUUUUUUAAAAAACCCAAGUCGACCCCAUUUUCCGUCAAAAAAAAUAGUGUCAACAUAUACAUUGUGAUCAAAAUCAGCUAUAUUACUAUGUAAGAAAUUAAAAUGAAAAUAUAUGAUUAAAAUUCUAUUGGAGAAGGUGGCAAAUACAUCAAUCGUAUCGAAAUAUUAAUAUCUAUUAAAGGAUGUCAGUAUAUAAGUGGGUCGUUGAUAUAGAAGGAAGGAAAGAAAGCAACCUAUACCCAACGCAAUAGAUGCGAGAGUAAGGAAGUGGGCCAAAAAGAUUGGUGGAGAAAUGGAUGAGGAAGCCACUAUCACUGUGCAGUUCCCUGGAGGCAAAGGCAAAUUUGGCAAUAUCCCGUUGUUUGUCUUUAUAAAAUGAUGUGGUUGGCGCGCUGUUUAUAUUAAUGCACGCCCCUUGGUCCCCCCCCCCCCCCCCCCAGUGGAAGUUUCUGGUAUUAGGACUGGCCAUGGUGGCCCUCGUGGCUGCUCCACUCCACAAAUCAUAUGUGGACCGUAUUUGUCUCAAUCUCCACACUCAGUGACACGUAAUUAUAAAGUUCCUAUAAAAAAAUCAUAGUGAUUGAAAUCGGAUUGGAUUGGAGAUUAGAGUAAAAAAAAACAUUAAUUUAUUUGUGAAUUAAUAUAAAUAGAUUGAAUUAAAUUUUAUAAUUUUUUAAAUGAAAGUUGAAUAAAAAAAAUCAGUGACUUGAUAAUCAAAUUAUAAUUUAAAAAUACAAUACAUAGUAAAAAGUUUUAACUGGAAAAUUGUAUUUAAAAAAUGUAUAUAUGUGGUCCAAGAAAUUUAAGUAUUUCACAAUAUUGCCAUUAUUAAAAAGCUUGUAAAGAAGUAAUUUUGUUUGGGUAAAAAUUUUGAAAUAUCAUCCUGUAUGUGUGGAAAAUUAAUUUAUAAUUACAUGAAAAAUAAAUAUACUCGUUAAUUUUAAAAUAUAAAUACAUUGAGACGUAGCGAGUAGUAAUAAUGUUGAUAUAGAGGGAAGUAUUGCUCUCUCACUUCCAAUUUCAAGUAAUACCACCAAAUUAAAAAUCAGCAGUGCCCUCUUCUAUAAGCUUGUCUGAAAAACUCAAAAACACACUGUUAGAGUACAGAAAUAAAUAAAUGCUUACUUCAAUGAUUAAGAGAGAGAGAGAAUAUGAACGAAUGGCCAUAACAUUAAUGCAUUCAUACAUUCUCGAAAAUGGUGGCAUCUUCUUUAGCUUUCACGUUGCUUACAAUUAAUGAAUGUAGAAUUUAUUCUAUUACUGCUUACAAAUGAAAAUUAGUGAAAAGAAGGGCCUUUUAGUUAAAAAAAGGGUCGGUCCAAGUCUAAGACCCCACCAGGAUUUUAAACAGCUAAAAGCAUUUAAUAAUUGCGACAAGGGAAUUGUGAAACCUCGAGUGCACGUAUGCAUUUUUGGAUGCUAAAUUAUGGUUAUAAAUCCUCCUCCCCUCUACUCCCCACGCAAUCAUUCAUUCUCUCCUUUUUCAUUUUUUAUCCGAAGCCAAUACCCCCAGAAUUUUCACAAACGAAAUGCGACCGCAGCCGCAGGCGACCGGUGAGCGCCUGGUGCGGUUGUCCCCGCAGCUUUCGUCAGGGGAACCAGAAAUGUCUUCCACUUCAACGUCUACGUGUAGCCCCCAUACUUGCAGGUGGCGGUCUUACCCAAAAUCGAAUGACUUGGAAGCUAAUGUAGCCACGGUGUUGAUCAUUCUCUUUUGUGGUUUAAUAUGUUCUUUGGCUCUUAACGCCGCCAUCCGCUGCUUCUUGCGUGGCAGUGAGGGCCGCCGCCCGCGUCAUUUCCGCAACGACAUUGCGGAAGCAGAUGAAGAAGUUGAGCAGAGAAAGCCCGUGGGGGAGGCAGGUGCGGCACUCAUGGUGGGGGCUCCGACGCUGGUUUACACGAGCGGGAUGAAGUUGGCGGGAGCGGAAGCUGAAUGCGCGAUUUGCUUGUCUGAAUUCGUGGAGGGAGAGGGAAUUCAAGUGUUGGCAAAGUGUAACCAUGGAUUCCAUGUACAAUGCAUCCAGCGGUGGUUAUCUUCCCGCUCAUCUUGUCCUACUUGCCGCUGUAGUUGUCUUUCCCCACCGCCGUUAACGGAAGAAACCACAAACAACAGUUCACAAUCGACGAUGCCGGAGCCGGAGCCAUAGCAUAUAUCUUUCGCUGCUCUUCACAGCGUAUGCAUGUAAACUGUUACAUAUAACAACAGUACAAAUGAUCGUUGGUUGAGCAUAAGCAAUGUUCCUAUCAUUUAUUCUUCAUAUUGGAGAUAAUUUUGGCAUCUACAUAUUAGAGCUGCCCUUAUUCCCUUUUAUCUUUUCAAGGGAGAAGCUCUUCCGUCCUUGUUUUUAUUUAUUUAUAAAGCUCGAAUUCCAAAUUUUAUUCUUCCCUCAAUUUGUAAUCUACCCAAAGAAUAAUUAGUUUUUAAACAAUCGAUUUUAAUUUUUUUUAGACCAAAUCCAAAAGAUUUAAAUAAAUGAUAAACUAUAAAAAUAGUUAUUUUUGUUUGUCUCAGAUUAUAUUUUAGUCACUUAUGUUUAAAAAAUUACGUUUUAGUCACUUACAUUAUCAUUUUGUUAUGAAGUAAUUACUCUGUCGUUAAGCUCCGUUACCUCCCUAACAACAAUCCUACGUAGCAGUCCAAAUGUGUUUUAAAUGCCAACUUCGUUGUCCAAUUGGGAUGAGAAUAAUUUUUCAAUCAAAAUGAAAAAGAAAACUAAAAGAAAAAAGAGACAAACAAAUUUUUUUUUCAUUUCAAAAUGUAAUUAAUUUAAAAUUUUUAUUUAAUUAAUUUUAUUUAAUUAAAAACUUAUUCUCAUCUCAAUUGGACAUUUAAGUUGGCAUUUAAAACUCAUUUGGACUGACAUAUAAGAUUGCCAAUAUGGAGGUAAUGGAGCUUAACAGUAGAGUGACCACUUCGUAACAAAACAAUUGCGUAAGUGACUAAAAUGUAACAUUUCAAACAUAAAUAAUUAAAAUGUGAUCUGAAAUAAACAAAAGUGUCUAUUUUUAUAGUUUACCCUUAAAUAAAAUACAAAUGUCUUAUAUUACUUGUGGCUGCUUUUUUCUUGUCCUCCUUGUAUGUAAGAGGCUUUUUUUUUGUUUCUACUUCCCACAUUUACUUUUUGUUUAUUAAUUGAGCUAAAUUAGUUAUAUAUAUAUAUAUAUAUAUGAUACAAAAAAAAAGUUAAUUAACGGAAUAGGUUAAUUUUUUUAAAAUUUAAGGAAAUAGACAAAUUUUAAAAAGUGUGUGAACUAGACGCGUUUUUCUGAUAUAUUAGCAGAAAGUUCGUCUAACUAGAUGAGUUUUCACACUCCCUAAAAAUGAUUUAUUUCCUCAAUUUAAAAAAAAACGACCUAUUUAACUCGUUAAGAGACUUUUUUUUUUCAAUAUAUGGCCUAUUUAACCUAUUAAUUCUUGAAUAUCUAAGGAAACUGAAAAGCAGUUGAUACAAAAAAUGAUGACAGCUUGGUCUACCAUGCCUUUGGUAUUUUUCUGGACCUGAAACUUUUACGUUAUUGGGCUUUGUGGCUGAACUUUUACAUGAUCAGCCCAAUAAGGUAAUAAUAAAUGUUCAGAUAUUUUGAAUUUUUUUAGUUUAAUAAUUUUAUAAUACAACCAAUCUUCUCUAUAAUAACUCCAUUUGUCUGUUAAUAUUUUAUCUAUAAUAGUGAGAAUUGUUGUAAACUUACCAUAUAAUUCAUAUCAUAAAUUUCCAUCAAAUAAAGAAAGUAAGAAUUAUGUUCGAAAAAGAAAGUAAGACUCAAAUCAAUAAAAUUAAAAGACGUAUAACAUGUGCAUACGUUCUUGUUUUUAUGCAUUUUUUUAUUAUACAUUCUUUCACUUGAUUAAUUAUGAAAUCUUUUUAACAAGUUCAAUUAAUCAAUAUGAUUUAUCAAAUUAAAUUGAUUAAUUUAUGAUGAGUUAUUAAAUUCAAAUAAUCAAUUUAUGAGUUUUAAACGUUUCAAUUUCAUAGUAGAAUGUUUAAUUAAAGAACUUAAUAGUGUAUCGAAUUGAUAUUUUUAGUUUCGCUCAUAGAAUAUUAUUUUUAUUUAAUAAAAUAUUACCAAUAGAUUUAAUAAAACAUUUUAUUGAAAUAAUAUUUUAAUUAAUAAUAUUUUUAUUUAGUAAAUUAUAAUAAAGAAUGUACUUUAAAACUAUGAAGGUUACUAUUAAGUGAAAAUCUGAUAUAGAAGAUUAAAAUAAAAUAAAAUAAAUCAAAUCUACUAAAAACUUGGUUGUUAUAACAAAAUGUUGUUAUAAGUGGUUGCUAUCCCAGUUUUAAUUUAACUCUAAAAACACAAAUUUAAAUGGGCUUAAGCUAUUUUCUCUCCUAUUAAAAAUUGAAGAGUUGAUUGGAAUGGAGAGUAUAUAAAACAGUUUUAUACUAUAACUACAUCUAGAUUGAAGUUAAAACCUUUAUUUUUAUACCUCUUAUUAUUUCACAUUCUUAGCAAGUAGCUUUUAGCAAAUGCGAAAAUCCUUUUGAGUCUAGCCAUUCUCAAACCGAACUUUGUGGCCAAGAGAGUCGAAUCGGAAAUAUUGGUGAUCUUGGAAAUUAUUCAGUUCGCCGACCAACUUCAUCCACUGAUUCUGCAAUGGGUAAUAUUGAUAAUUUGCAACAAUUAGCCAUUCUGAAGAACUAUAUGAAUGACGGUGGUGAUCUCGGUGGAACAACCAGUGUGAAUGCUAGAGCCUACCAGCCUCUGCAACAAUCAAAUUCUGAAAAACUUCGGAACUGAAACUGGAAUCAGAAUUAGGAGCCGUGGACCUCAGCAACGGCCAAGUCCAGACAACGCUGUAAAUCAGGGUACUGCUCCAAGAAGAAGACGCUUGCAAACAGAACUUUCUACUGGGCCAAUGAAGGUGUCUGCAGGCAGUGCUGAUGAUGACAAAGUGAGAAGUGGCAGCCUUGGUGAAGAAGAAGUUCAAUCUGCUUUAACUGAGGUAGGGUAACCAGGAAUAGCUAAUAUUGAAGUGUAUUUAUCUUACCUUUCUCUGCGUUUUGGAUAAGAUCGAGUAUACUGUAGGUUAAUUGAAUUAUAUCUUUCAAUGCUUGCAAUGCAGGUCACAGAAGCAGAAGCUACAGGAGAGACUUCUAGCUCUGAUGAGUCGGAUAACGAGAAUGAACCAUUCAAGUUCGAUGGCAGCGGGGGUAUUGCUGAAGAAUCUUCUACUAAACCGAGACAGAGGGUAAAACAAGAUGGUGAGGAAGGUAGCGGCCAAAUGGGUCCAUCAGUGCAUCAUCAUCAUCGCUCGAGCACCCUAUUAUUUCUUGCUGUUAUCAUUAUGACUAUUGUGAUCGUUCUUGUCAUGGGGAAUAUGGAGAUAACUUAUAUCUUAAGUUAUUCUGGAUGAUGUUGACACGGGCUGCAGGUAGGUUAUCCAUUUCCCACUGUAGGCAAUUACUGUAUAAAAUAAGUACCCAAUGGGCCUUUUCUUACUACUUUAGCUUGAAGUUGUUUUUAUAAUAAGAGGGGAGAAGGUUAGAGGAAUCAUAGAUAAGGUCUUAUUUAAUUGGUUGAAUUAGUUAAACCAAAUAAGAUUCUAAAUAUUUAAAAAAAUUUAAAUUUUAAAUAAAUAUUACAUACAUUGAUGAAUUAAUAUAUGUUAUUUCCUUGUACUAUUUUAGCUUAUAUAUUAAAAAAACUUAUUUAAAAAAAGACCUUAGAUCUAGUUAAUACUUUUAAAUGGGUCAAUUCUCCCCUGUGCGCGAUAUUAAGGUCAAUUCGGUUUUACUUUUUGUUCUUCCCUAUUACUUGUUUUGUUAUUUUAUUUAGAUAGAUAAAUUUGAUGUUUAUUACACUUAAAUAACACUUUUAUUUUUUAAAUUUGUAUACAAAUAAACUCUUAAUCUUUUAACAUAUAUCUAUAAUAUAUAUAAAAAUACGAGUUUGAAAAAACUUUUAAAUCGACGAAAACAUUUUUUAUUUUCUACCAUAUUACUAAAUUGACAUUUAAAAAUAUUUAUAUUUUAAUUUAGAAUUAUUAGUUAUAACUCUAUUUAAAAAUAAAUUUUGAUAAUUUUAUUAACUCUAAAAUAGAGUUAUAACUUGAAUAAAGUCCAAGCAUCGUCAUCACCUUGUAUAAAAAAACAUACUCAUUACCGAUAAGUCAAAAUAACUAAUAAUUAAGGUUAAAAUAUUAUUUUUAAAAAUUCUGAUUUUUUUUAAUUUUUAUAAGUAAUUUUUUUUUAUUUAUUUUCAUACUCCUUGAUGUAAUAAAAUAAGACUAUAAAAGUUUAAGUAUAUAAAUAUAUAUUGAUUUUAUCUUUUAAUUAUUAUUUAAUUAGUGUUAGACUUAUAUAUCAAUUAAAAUUUAAGUUUAGAUCUAUAAAUAAUAUCCAUAAGUUGUAUCUAAAAAGGUCAACAAUACAAAGAAUGAAAAUUAUUAGUAUUAAUAAAUAAAAAAAUAUCUCAAAAAGGCGUAUUCAAACUACAAUGGCACUAAGUGAGACAUGUAAAAUUAUUUUAAUUGAUGAUGACAUGAUAUAAUAUAUAUUUUUUUUAAAUUAUCGGUUGUUGAUUCUAUGUGAAGCAAGUAUUCUUUUGUACUUUUUUUUAUCUUCUUCUUCUUCUUAUUAUUAUUAAAAUACAUAAAGUUAUAAAUAAAUGAGAGAGAUUGAAAAAAUAAAAAAAAAUCACAUAUAAAAUUUCAAUAAUUAUUUUUCAAUCACUUUUUACUAUAGUUUUUAAAUUUCUAAAUUAUUUUCAACUUCUUUUACUUAUAAAAUAUUAUUUAUCUUAAAUAAUAGUUACAUUAAAUAUGUGAUAUAUGUGAUAUAUUAUUUAUUUUUAAUUUAUAAAAACUAAAAUUCACCAACAAGUGAGAAGGAAAUCUAAUUUAAAUAAAGUUGUAACCUUUUAAAUUUAAUUAAUUCUUAAUAUAAAUGAAUCAUUUCAAAAGAAAAUUUAUUUAAUACAAAUAAAAAAAUUUGAACUAAAAUAAUCACCCAAUAUAUAGUUUAAUAUUUUAACCUCAUUAUUUUUAGCAUUAAUUUCAUUAUAAGUUUUUAUCAUAUUUACUUUUUUUAUAUAUAUAUAAUGAUUAAAACUACCUAUAGUUCCUCCCCAACCCUUUAAAUAAGAGAAUAAUGUACUCCAGCGCAUUCAAACUUACGUCCUCCUAUACUGACAACAAUAUCAAUACCAAUCAAAUUAAAACUUAAUCUACAAUAUUUUAACCUCAUUAUUUGUAUAAAUACUAAGCAUGUUGAGAAAGUUCCAUCGGAGAAAUGAUGGGGCAGAACAACCAAAUUACUUUUUUUGUAUCAUAUCAUAUACUGCACAAAGUAAUAAAUAAUUAAUUGCACAAUCAAUGAAUGGAGAAGAUGAUAAGGAUGAGUUCAUGAGCCAUCCAUUUUAUAUAUAAAUAAUUAUCAUUACAUACAACAAAACACUGUAUACUUUCAUGUGGGCUCGUCUUCAGUCUCCAGGUGGAGGGAACUCCUCAUUUCAACCCACCACCACCACCACCACCACCGCCACUCUGGUAACUUUUAAGCCCUGUUGCCGCCGCCCCCUCCAGUAAUCAGAGUCUUUUUCUUCACUAACACACCCAAAUUUUUGUUUCUUUAGCUGUCUUGAAGUGAACUUCAGUUUUGGCCAGAGACUGAUUUAACAACAAGUGUUGGAAAAGAGAUGAUUCAGGUGGCAGUAGUGGCGGGGUUGAUGGAGGAGUACACGGUGCUGUUGGCAAGGCUGCUUGAGCAGAUGUUACAUGAAGCUCCUUUUCCAAGGCGAAUGCGUUUCCUUAUCCUUCGUAGUCUUCCUUUUGUUUACUCCACUCCCCUUCUGAUCCCAUCCCCUACUUAAACCCCUGUUUUUUUUUUCCCAUAUGCAGAUUUCUGUUAUAUGUACAUUCUCUGGAGCUCUGUUUGCUUCAUCUAUGUAAUAUAAAUUCCAUUCCAACUUGCUUGCUUUUCUCUGUUUUCACAUUCAGUGAUUCAACCAUGCUUUUAUCCUUGUUUCUGGUUGGUCUCAAAAUGUUCACAAAAAUCGCCAAAAAGGGUUGUUUCAAUGAAAAGGUGGAGACCAAAUUACUAGCAUGGUUGCCUUGCCAUAUGGCACUAUUUUUACUUGCAUGUAAUUUGUGUAGUUUUCAGUAGGUGUCCUUUCUGUUUGUCUGAAUCUACUUCAAUUUUUUAGUGGAUGUAUGUUUGAAUGUUUUCAAUUUCAAUUUCAAUAAAUAUCUUAGUUUUCGAUUACAUCGAACCCAUAUAAUAAAUUUAAAAACCUAGUAAUUAAAGGAAUUUUUAUAAGGGUGAAUCAAGUCCGAAUACGAUGUUAUUUCAUCAUUAGUAUUUGUUUAGUACAAUUAUUGGGAACGGCCAGACUUUUUCUUGCCAUAAAUCUGAAAGGAUAAGCCAUUGGACCACUCUCUGUAACAUCACAUCACCCACAUAUAUUUUCUUCUUUUAUAUGUAUGGAUGUAGACUUGUGAUUUUUAUUUUGGGAUAUUUUUGUGACUGAACAUGGGAUUGAUAAAGAGAUAUGGUGGGGGGGAAUGUUUAUCUUUUUUGUUAAUGUACAGAUAGAUGCCGAGAUGAUUUACUUCAACGUAAAAUUCGAAUUUAAGUUUCAAUUUUUCUCAAAUAAAUAAAACAAUUAAUUUACCUUUACCUUUCAAGUAAUUUUUUUAUAACCAAUAUAUCGUUUUUUAUUAUCUAUUUUUACCUUUUGAAAUUAUCAUUAUUUUUAUAUCCAUUUUAUAAUUUAUAAAAAUUGUUUUUCUUAAAUAUAGUGACUAUCCUUCUCAACUCGUAUAAACUUAACAUCUUUACUAGUUAACAAUUUGGGAACUCCAUCACUUUUUAACUAAUGGCUCCCAUCCAGUAAGUUGGAAUGUGGAUCGUGAUUUGAAUAUCAAUAACAUUCUUUGUCUUAAACAAUAGGUAACGUGGACCCUCAGAGCAUAAGAAACUCUCAUCUCACUUUAAAUGAUUCUAUGGUAUGAUUUAUAUUUUUGAAUGUGAUGCUCUGAUCCUAUCAAACAUGCUAUGCUUUGAUAGCAUAAAUUUGAAGCUUUUAACCAAACAAUAAUAGUUGUAAAUUGCAUUUUAACCCCAUAAAAUAACAAUGUUGCACAAGAGACCAUUCGGUAAUGUUGACAUCAUUCACAGUACUCACUAACAUGGGAGGCCCCGACCAAGGCAUGAAAUGCCUAAACGAUUAAUGUGUUAAUUAUUGCUAUCACAAUUCAUUGAGUUGUAAUUUGGAAUUAGCUUAAUUUGAAUAUAAUGUAUGUAUCAUUUGUUGUAUGUUAUUAGAAGUUUUUAUCAAGAGGUUCAUUGAGUUGUUUCAAGGCUUUCCUUAUCUAUUCUCAAUUCUUUUCACCAUUGUUUCUCUUUUCCUUUUUGCUCUUUUUUGGUAUAAUAAACAUCCCAUUUCAAGAUUUGGGACACUUCAUGUAUAAUCUUGAGUAGUGGUCAAAGAAACAAAAUUUUGUGAUUAUCCUAUAUUGGAGUGGUGAGAGUGCAAUUUUUUCGUAUUAUGUGGUGAGGUUACCAUUUAAUUCUAAAUUUGGUAUUUUGGAUUUUUUUAUUAGGUUUUUGUUUGACAUUCUAGUCAGGUGUUGUAGUUGCUUUUCAUUAAUGGCUCAUUGAUAUGGCUUUAAGAAUUCAUGUCUUAACAUUGAAGUGGAGAUUGAUAGUCUUUUCAGUUUUAGAUAUUUUACAAACAUUGAUGGUUUAGUGUCGAACUUUUGAUAAUUAAUGAAAUUAAAUCUUUAUGUUUUGAGUUAGUGAUUAUCAAGUUUAGGUAUGUUUUGAAAUUGAACAAUCAAGUUAGCGAUUGUGUCUAGAUACCGACAAUAGCCUACUAUUUGUAUCAAUUUAUAAUUAUGUACAGAUAAUUUACUUUAUAAAUGAUCAAAUGAGCGCACUUUUUUAAUGUGACUUUUUUUACAAAAUAAAAAAGAAAAUUUUGUCAUCUUGUUUCUUUCAUGUUGUAAAAUUUUAAGCUUAUCAAAACUAAUUCAAAAUAAAAUUAACUGUACAAGAGACAAUAUUUAACAUUGGUCUAAAAAAUAAUAAAAAUCACUUUAAGAAGAAGGUUAAUUCAACCAAACGUUUUCUUAUCAUUCAGAUUCUAAAUUGAUUUUCAAUAUUUAAAAAAGUUCUGAUUGAAUAUUUAAAAAUAUUAAUAUUGUAUCAAUCAAGUACUUUUCUCAACUUAACCAUUAUUUUAGAUGUUAAAUGUCAGCUCAAAUUUGACCCGAAAUAUAUUUAAAGUACCUAAAUUAAGUUAUAACUUGACCCGAACAAAUAUUUAAGAUCUAAAUUGAUGGAAAAUAUUUGAAUAAUAGAAUUUAAUGAUUUAAUUACAACUUUUUCAAGUUUAAAUUAUAAACCCUUCCUCGCUUUAGCUAGGGUCCAUGGAGUUGAAAAUAGAAGGAUUAAAAAUUAUGAUACGUUAUAAAUUAAAGGGACAGUGUUGCUGUUUUGUCGUUUUUAUGUUGAUGGCUCAGAGUAUAAAUGUGGCUUUCCCCAUUUUCGGAUAAACGAAUUAUGCAUCCAAUUGCAAUCAACAAAUUCUCACCGAUUUAAACACGUAUAUAAAAGAAGGCAUCGCAUCUUGUUGAAGCAUUUAGUGACGAAAAGUUGUCGCCGAACAAACUACACUGGCAUAAACCACAUGGAUAACAUUCUUUAAGAGACAUGAACAUAAAAUACAUAACUGCAAGUAGGCUAUGACUAGGACAAGCACCAUCCAUAAUAUAUAUAUAUGAAUGAUCAGGGUUGAGGUAUCUAAACUAGAUGAGUCGAGUUCAAGCUAUAAUAACGUCACAUUAAAUUUUGGGUUAAUUAAUUUUUUUUAAAAAUUGAGAUUAAUUAAAUUUUUUAAAAAAUUAACGCAAUUUUUUUUAAAAAAUAUAGGAUUUAAUUAAAAUUUAAAAAAUUAGGAACUUUAAAGCUAAAUUCGAAUUUCAAUAGUGUUCCAUUUUUUAUUUGACAAAAAUAUUGAGUAUUUGAGUUUGCUCCAUAAACUCUUCAAUUUUGAUUCACAUAUAUUUUGUUUCAAUUUAGUUUAUAGUACGUAGGAUUUUACUCGAAGAGUAAUACAUUAUUAACCUCUUUAUAUAAGAUAUUAUUUGAGUUUAGCUCAUUCGUUAAAUUGCAAACUUACUUCUAUACAAAAUAUAAAUUACUCUCGCACUAGAACUUUCCCCUUAAAAGUUUAGUCGAAAACUGAACAACACAAUCAACAUACUUACAACAAUUUGCAUUAAAAUAAAUUUAUAAUAAAACAAGAUAAGUGCUUUCUUAAUGAAUUUCUAAUUUUUUGAAUUCUACUCAAUAUAAGUCUCUUAAUGUUGAAUGAACCGAUAGAGAUCUUCUCGGUGUAAUCACUUUUACAAAUCAAAUCUUUUCAAAUAAGAAAACACAAUCACAUUGAAUAUAUUCAAAAUAUCCUUUCUUGACUUGAUUUUCUCCGUAUUUCAACUUCAUCAAAAUGCUCUAAGAGUUGUGAUACCAACAAAAUAUGACAAGUUACAAUGAUCCAUUAUAUACCAACUAAAUUGCAGUUAGAGUUACAUGACACUUGUAAUUAACACUAGGAUUAUAUCUCAUACAAGUAUUCAAAUAUAUUUUUUAAAAACAUGCACGAAUAUAUAUAUAUAAGAAAAGGACUUAACAUGGUUAGUUGUAAAUUUUGGAAGAAUCUAUAUAAUUAUCAGUGCAUAUGUUCACUCUGUCAGAUAUUAUUAAAAAUCAUGGACUGAUAUUUUUAUGACUACUACUCCACUAGGCAAUAGUAUUCCUUUCUGUAGGUUUGCAUGACAUCUAUAGCUUGUGAGGCUUUACUUAUAAAAUGGAAAAACAAAAAAAAAAAACAAUGUGCUAGGGAAUCAAACUUUGUUAGGUUUUUCUAAAUUGAAUAUUGCUGCAUGCAUGCUGUAUACCCUUUAUAUUUUUCUAAAAGAUGGUGGGUACACAAGAUUUUAGGAAUAUAUGUUCCCUUUGCAUCAAAAUUCAGGCUCAUCCAUAUCCCGAAUCCAUCUCAUAUUCUUUUUUUAAUAAUGUUAUUGUUGCUAUUACCGUCAACUAUGAUAGACUCGAUUCAAUCGAAAAGACGUUUGAUUUAAAUCCGUCGAGCAUGAGAGUUUGAUACUAUUCCUUCUCAAAAGGUUCCAACAUUAUUAUAGUUUUGAAACGUGUGAAGUACGUGUGAAAUAUGACGCCCUCCCCCAACAUAGAUAUAUAAGCACAACAAAUGGUUAUUUCUUUUUUAUAGUAUUGGAUUUCUUUCAUAUUAUAGCGAGAGAUUUGGAAGUCAUAAAGGGAAUCCUUGUGCUGGGAUUGUGUUAUUCCAUCGGUUUCUCUUCAUCUUUUACUUUGUGAUAUCUAUCAAUGGCUAACUUAAUAGAGAGAGCAUUUGGGACAAUUAUAGCAGCCAUCGCGCACAGUUUCUUUGGCUACCGAGACAACAAAAAAGGGGUCAGCAACACCAGUUACUACCACAAGAAGCCAAAUAAGGGUCAACCACUUUCUUUGCAGGUUCCUUUUCAUCCCCCCUCCGAAGUAAAUAUGUUUUGUUUUCUUGUCCAUCAUAAGUUACUUGUCUUGCUUGCCUUCACCUUUCACCAUCAUCUUCCCAAACUUUCCCUUCCAUUUUAAUGAUUCCAUUUGAUAGGGCGGGUGUUAUUUGGAUUGAUUUUAGGUUGGAUACUUACACAUGAUAUAAGAUUCCAGAUUUUAUUAUAUUGUUAAAGUUUAUAUAGUAUCUGAGUUUUUUUGCCUAUGUUUAAUUUUACGAGAGCACACAUGUCAGAUAUUCAUCAGGCCACAUGUUGCCAUUUGGUUUGAGUACCAAAUUGAAUAUCGAAGCCAAUCUCAAGUGACAGAUUGAAACAAAACAAAAAACUAAGUACCUAUUAAACAUUGAAGCCAAACUCAAAUACCAAUUGAUAUAUUCAUCUUAUAUUGUUAAUAUCUCUUUCAAGUUUGUCGCAUGAUCUCAUAUUGGUUAAAUCAUUAUAUUCAAGUAUUAAAUCUCGUCCUUUGCCAUCAAUUGAUUUUUUAAAUCAAGAGUUUAAUAUUCGUAAUAUAUGUUGUUUUAUACAAAUAUAUAUAUAUACCAUAAGAGUGAGCGGAAAGAUUUCAUAUACCCAAGAUUUCAACUCCAAACUUACAAAAUGUCACCUGGUCUUAAACCUUCAUGCUAUGUUUCAUGUCAUAGCGAAAUGUUUGAAGCACAAGUUUAAUUUGAACAAUCAAUUCAUUAAUCUUCGACUAUACCAUCUUUUAUGUUGCAAAAAACCUUACAUUUGAGUUAAACACAGCAGCUAAAUAACCUUUAGUGAAGGUAUAGUGUCCUAGGACAAGCUCCCAGUACAGCAUAUUUGUUGGCCAAUCUGAUGGCUUAGAAUCAUAUUUAUUGUACCAACUUUUUAUGUUUUCUACUCUUUAGAAAUAGAAGAAAUGAUAGCAAAAAAAUUAAAAUUUGAAUGUUAUCUUAUAAGAAUAAGUGCAUAAAGAAUCUGCAAACAAAUAAGUUUAAAAAUAAAAAAGACCCAAGAUGGUAUUUCUUAGUGCCUUGGGUUUCCUCUAACUGGAUGAAGCAUAAAGGGAGUUAAAAAAGAAGGAACAAAGGAAUAAGAAGAAAGAUGAAGAGAAUUUGUGAAUAAAUUAGGGUUACAAAUUACAAUACAAGUUGAUAUGGUUUUUUUACAGACAGUGGAUCUGAAAGUGAGGAUGUGCUGCAUUGGUUGUGAGAGAGUAGUCAAAAGAGCCAUUUACAAGCUUAGAGGUAUAUACCUGGACUUUGCUUCUGCUUCAAUUUCUAUUUAUUUCGGUAUCAAAAGAAAAAAAAGAAUCACACGUGUCCAAAUACAAUUCCUUUUUUACUUUAUUAUUAUUAUUAUAUAACAACGGUAAAAUUUCAAUUUUAAUCCUUAUACAAUGCUCAAAUUUGAAUUUUAAUAUUUAUGUUUUAAUUGUUGACAUAAUUUGGUACCUAAGUUUUGAUAAUGUCUUUAGUUAGUCUAAAUGUUUUAUUUUUUGUGUCAAAAAACACAGCCUUUUACUCUCUCUUUUUUUUUUUUUUGAGAUUAUAUAACAAUGAUUAAAUAUCAGUUUUGGUGUCUAUAUUAUGCUGAAAUUUGAAAUUUAAUCUCUAUAUUCUAGUUUUUGACAUAAUUUGAUAUCUCAAUUUCUAUAAGGUCAUUAGUUGAUCUAAAUACUUUUUCAAUUUAAAAUGUUUACGUGAAUUUUUAAUAAUUGUUAACACUGUUACAAUUCUUUGUUAAUUUAAAUCCAUCAAAAUGUUAUUUUUUUUUACAUGGCUAUCAAAUGAACAUUUUAAUUUAAUUUUAAUAUGUCAUACUAAUGAAUUUAACAGAAAAAAUUGUAACGUAAUAACUGGACCUAAAUUUUUAAAUUUGAAAAAUAAAGAAACUAAAUUCCUAAAAGUAAAAAAAUAAAAAAAUAAAUUUCAAAUAUAUGAAAAAUAUAAAAAACUUUCAAAAUUUUGCUUUAUAAUUUAAUUAAAAAAAAACCCAACGCGAAGGAUAAAUCCAUUUUACGGAUUACAAGUUUAUAUACUAAAUCGUUAACCUUUUUUACUGCAGAAAAUUGUUAAAAAUUUUAACAUUAACUUAGUAAAAAAUAAAAAAAUUUAACAUACAAAUUUGGAUUGCUUAAAUUUCCUCCGAUUUGUCAUGGAUUUAAUAAUGGUUAAUUCGGUAAUAAUUAAUUAAAUAUUUAAAAAUGAAUAAAUUGAUUUAAUUGUGGAUUGUUUGUCCUAAUUUCUAGCUUUUUUUUUUUUAUCAAUUCCAAACUGUUCCUACUUUUAACCAUUCAAUUCCUUAUUCGAAUAAAUACAUGGAUUAGUCUAAUUCGAUCUAGUUGGAACAUCCAUGUAAUUCUGCGAAUUGCUUUAAGAUAUUUUAAUAUUUUUAAUAUUUUUAUGGAGCCCAAAACUUUUUUCAUUUCAUGCUGACCGUCUGGCAUAACAUUUUCUAUUUACCCUCCUUAAUGAAUGUUGUUUUAGGUGUGAAUUCGGUGGAAGUUGACUUGAAGAUGGGAAAAGUAACCGUGAUCGGACACAUCGAUCGACACAAGGUGCUGAAACAAGUAAGGAGGUCAGGGAAAAGGGCCGAGUUCUGGCCCUACCCUAAUCCCCCAUUGUACUUCAUCUCCUCCGGAGAUUACUUCAGAGACACAACAAAUGAGUUCAAAGAGAGUUAUAAUUACUACAAACAUGGGUACAAUCUCGGACAUCGGCAUGGGAAUAUCCCGGUAACUCACCGAGGUGAUGAUAAGAUCAGCAACAUGUUCAACGACGACAAUGUUAAUGCCGCCUGUUGUCUCAUGUAGAAACCUGAGUAUAAAACAUUUUACUACCCACCCAUUUCCAUCAUGUAAUAUAAUUUGCAUUUAAUGUAAUAUUGAAUAUGCACUGUAUAUAUAAAUAUUUCUACAUAUUUACCUUUUUUUUGUUGGACAUAUUGUAUUUUACUCCUUCCAUUUAGAAAAUAGGUAAAUUAAUCAAUAUAGAUUACAUCAAAGAGCAAACCGGUCAUUUUGUUAAAAAGUUCAUUCAUUUUUGUUAUUAAAAAUUAGUUCAUGUACGUCAAAAUGAGGUACAUGUAGCACGUCACAUGUCAUUGUCUAAUUAUUUCAUCAACCAAGUUAGUUUUUAACAGUACAAAUGAAUAAAAAUUUUAACGGAAAGGACCAAUUGCACUUUAAUUUAUUUAUUUUUUAAGUAAAAUAAACAAAAUCCAAUUUAACUCUUAAUAUAAAGAUUUCCAUAAUAUUUUACCAGUAAAAACUCAAUUUGUUAUAGCAUCUCAAGGGCUUAUUUAAAUUGAAAAAUUUUAAUUGUAAUCGUAUGAAUUUUUUGUAAUAAGAAAUUAUAUAUUAGAGAGUCCUUGGAUCAUGCGAUUUAUUUUCCCUGUUUAUGUACAAGGAUGUAGAUGAUUUGUAGGAGAUAUGAAGUGAUAAAAUGCAUUAUUCUGCUGUGCAUCUUUUGUCUUAAAGAUUUGGAAGAAUAUUUUAAUGAGAUUUACUUUGAUUGGGGCUUAUAGAUAGGAAAUACAAUCCUCUAUGAAGUUUACUCAAAAGGAGUCUUCAUUUUUUAUGCAUUUCUAAGACAAAUGUUUUGCUGCGGAAGUUGAUGCCACAAUUAUCUUACUUCUUAUUCUAUUUUUUAUAUUUACAUUUUGUCAAAUCUUUUAAUGCGAUAUUUGCGUUAAAUUUUCUGACACAAGUUGACACAUUUACUUUUACCUUGCCAUGUGGCACUAUUUGUCAGAAAAAGUAAUCUUUAAAGUAAAGCACCUAUAAUUAAUUAUACCAAUUUUUACUUUAAUCAUAAACCCAAUUAAAAAACCAAAAAUAACUUCUCUUCUUCACCCAAAUUAAAUAUUCUCUAAAGGGUUCUUCGUCUCUCAAGAACACAACUCAGAUCCUAUAGAUCUCUUUCUUUCUUUCCUUAUUUUAUAAACUAGAUAUCUCUUGAAGACUAACAACAGUACCCCAACACCAUACCCAAAACCAAACCCCCCCAAAAUCUAAAAGCAAUAGCCCAAAAAUAGCAAACAACUACAUUCCGGGUUAUGGUCAUCACAAGAAAAAAAUACAUAUAUGUAAUAUAAAGAGAUUUAUGUGUAAAUUAAUAUAAAUAUUCAUAAACCUUUCUAUAGCUAAAGGUGGUCUCUUUUCAAAGAGACACAUAAGUAGUUUUUAGUAAUUUACGUAGAUAAAAAAAAAUGAGAAUUGAAAUGAAUCUGAGAAAAGGAUACUGUAAUCUCUUUUUCUUGUAUGUCUCUAGAUUUGUAUUUUUCUUUUCUUUUUUUGAUUAUUCUGCACACGAAGGAGAAAUAUUUAUUUUUAAUGCCUUUACAAAAUAUCGAUUUCGAAUCCAAUCUAUGGGUUUCUUUGUUUUGAUAGAUUAUUCUUCAAACUUUUGUUUGUUCCACAGAAGCUUACCUGAUAGAAGUUUGUUGACAUAAGUUGUCACUGGUUUAACAUGGUUUGAAAAAAAUACUAGUUAAUACUUCAUAGCUUAUUUGUAUGUUUAUUUAGAUGCUUAGAUCUUUUUGCCAUAUUGAAGUGGUUCAGUUCCUAUAUAUGAACACAAUGCAACUAGUUAUUGGACAUCUCACCUGUAGGCUGGCUGUUGGUUACUACCUAUGGUGGUUUAACCCUUUGUUUUUCCUACAGUAUCUGAAACUGGGGAGAAUAUACGUAUAUGAUCCUUCAAGCACGGAAAGAUCUUGUAAAAAGUUUGGAUGUACCCAUAUUCAACACUUGUACCGGAGUCUAAGUAACAUAGAUUGCUAAAUGUCCUCUUUGAGAAUGGAAGUAUGGUGUUUGUUAUUUGAUUGCAGUGUUAGAAACAUCUCAUCAUGCUUUCUGGAGAAUUAUUUUGGGGUUAACUUCAUAAUCUCUACUAUGAACAAUAUCUUGAUGUGUGCUUUGAUAGAUCAAGUCUGAGCGGAAGCGAGAGUAGUUGCAUCUCUAGAUGUGUGGAUCGAUAUAUUGAGGCCACUAGUAUCGUUGGCAGAGCUAUUUUUAAUGCAUCUCGAUGACAUUUCUAACCAGAAUGUAUAAGCUUCUAAAUUUUCGAUGAAUUGCUAAGGAUGACUGAUAUUUUCUGAAAAUUUUCCGGGGAAUAUUAUACCUUGCAUAUUAAUCUUUGAUUUUGUACUUUACACCUUACAACUAUUUGACUAUUAUAUGUUCUUUGGCCUUUGGCCACAAUGGUGUUUAUGGACCGCCCCUUCUACAAGAGAUUAAGCCUUGUCGAUGGGGUAGAAUGCUUAUUUUUCUGACUCUUCAUUGUCCUUGAAGUGUUCUUAUUCAGCAUCUCUGACACUUCUAAUUCGAAUCAAUGACCAUUCAAGCGAUGUUUCAUCCCAUACUCGAUUUUUGAUCGAAUUUCAUGAUAUCCUAUAACAGGCUUUUGCAAUAUUUAUUUAAUCUACCUGCGGAUCAGUGCACAGAAAAGGAAAGCAUUCCACGUGGUCAAUACUAAGAUGUGACAAAAUCAAACUCCAAUUACACUGGUUUUUUAUAAAAAUAAUAUCAAAAAAUAAAAAAUUACCAAAAUGUUAUAACUUUUUUUUAUUUACCAAAAAAUAUAUAAAUUUUUUAUUUACCAAAAUAUAUAAAAAAAACUAAAAAACAAAAAAAAAACCUGAACUGAUUUGACAACUCCCUGGGUGGAGGGAAGCAGGUUGGCGGCACCAAACAAGGGAAGCAGGUUGGCGGCACCAGUUGAGGCAACCCUGUUGGCGGCACCACCCUUGAAUUUAAGGGUGGUCAGUUGGUGGGGGAAAGAAGGAGAGGGGAAGAAGAAGAAAGAAAGGAAGAAAGAAAAAGAAGGAAAAGGAAAGGAGAGGAAAGAAAGAAAAAGAAGGAAAGAAAGAGGAAGGGGAGGAAAGAAAGAAAAAUAAGGAAAGAAAAGGAAAGGAGAAGAGAAAAAAAAAAGAAAGAAGAAGAAGAGGGAAUAAGGAAAAAAAAAGAAAAUAAGGUAAUUUUUAUUAUUAAUUUAAGAUUUUUGUAAUAUUUGUGUGUUAAAAAAUAAUGUUAAGUACAUUUUACGUAUUUUAUUAUUUUAUUUAGGAUAUAUAAUUUUUGAGAUAUAUUUAGCGUGAAAAAAUUCAUGGUAUGUACAUUAUAUGUUGAUUAGGAAUUUUUUUUAUGAAAUUGACUUAGGAUGUUGAAAUUAGUUUUGUUAGGAAAAUAACAUUAAAAGUAAAAUGAUAAAGAAAUAUAUUUAAGAAAACAUAAAAUACGAAAAGAAAAAACGAAAAUUAUAUAUUCACCGAAAGUAAGAAAAUGCGAAAAAAAUUAUAUCUUUAAUAAAUUUUAAACAUAAUGCACUGAAAAAGUAUAAAAUUAUAAAAUUUAAAAUGACGAUAUUUUUUAAAAUAAUAAAAUGCGGAGAGAAAAAUACGAACAAAUGGCCAAAAUAAUAGUGUAUUACUAACUUUUUAAAAAAAUAGAAAUAGUUAAUACAAAUAUUUUAAAAAAAAUGUAAUGAAAUAAUAUAAAGUAAUAAAAUAAAAAAAUAAAAAAAAAAUUUAUUGAAAGUAAUAAAAAUUGGGAAAAAAAUACGAGCAAAUGGCAUGGAUAAGGAUUUUUUUUCUUACACCAAAUAAAAAACCCGUUUUUAGUAUUUUUUUAUUUUGGUAAAUAAAAAAUAUAUAUAAUAUUUUGGUAUUUUUUUAAUAUUUUAUUAUUUUUGUAAUGUUUUAUUAUGGGUUUUAUAAAAAAAUAAUAUAAAAAAAUAAAAAUUACCAAAACAUUAUAACUUUUUUUAUUUACCAAAAUAUAUAUAAUUUUUUUAUUUACCAAAAUAUAUAAAAAAAGUAAAAAAACAAAAAAAUAAAAAAAAGGAAAAAAAACACACUAAAUUAAUAAAUUAAUUUUACACUAAAUACACUAAAUAAUACGAGUAAAUGGCAGGGAUAGUGGUUUUUUUACACUAAAUUAAUUUUAAAAACACACUAAAUUAAUAAAUUUAAAACAUUAUGUAAAAUUAUAAAAUUAGAAAUGAAGAUAUUUUUUAAAGUAAUAAAAUGUGGAGAAAAAAAUACGAACAAAUGGCCGAAGUAAGAGGUUUUUACUAACUUUUUUUCAACCUGCAGGCAUCGCAAUGGCUUCAUUGAUUAGCACCAAAAGCCACAUAUCUGAUGCGGUUAAUAACGCGGUAUGAUUUAUUAUUUAUUAAUCACGGGUUCUAUUUAUUUAAAAAGGAUAGACGUAUAAAGAAAUAAUGUUAUCGUAAAAUUUUUUCUGUAAUUUAACACUAUCAGGACUCGUACCGAGUUUUAAGGGGCCGUGUGAGUGUUUUGAAGAAUACUCCGGAUGCACAGUUGAUGCCGUACUUAGAGCUAGCCGGAUUUGGGUCCGUAGCACAGAUCCGGUACACCGUCUUGCGCUUUGAUUUAUUAUCUGCUCUAGUGGAGCGGUGGCGCCCGGAGACCCACACUUUUCAUUUUCCGUACGGGGAGUGCACGGUGACCUUGGAGGAUGUAGCGUUGCAGCUUAGGCUCCCAAUUUACGGGAGUCCUGUAACGGGAUUCCCGUAACGGGAUUAUCUGCAUUUACCGAUCCGGAUGCACUUUGCUAUCAGUUUCUAGGAGACUCACCAGGGGACGGUGAGUCAUAUUUUUCGGGCUUACAAUUUACAUGGCUGAAAGCCAAGUACAGACAAUUAUCAGCGAUAGACACUGAAGGCGAGUUGAUGUGCGCUGCUCGAGCGUACAUCAUACAUAUCAUAGGGGGAGAAAUCAUGCCUGAUGCAAACAACGACAAGGUGCAUUUGAUGUACUUGCCCUUGUUAGCUAACUUGUCCAGUGUUAGCUCCUAUAGCUGGGGCUCAGCCGUGCUAGCAGUCUUGUAUCGAGAGCUUUGUCGGGCGACAGAUCCGAAAGUUCGCGACAUGGGCGAAUGCCUCUCACUGCUGCAGUACUGGGCGCUGUAUCAGAUGCCAUUUUUGGCAUCGGUUAGACACCAACCGUAUGUUUAUCCACUGCUGAACAGGUAAUAAAAUAUAACUUCUCAUUAUUUGUAAUCAUAAUAUAUUUACUAAUGUUACCAACUCUAAACGCUAUAUUUGUUUUUUGUAGGUGGAGUGCUCGUCCGGGUAUCAGGAAGUCGUACAAUGUCCCGCUAUACCGCCUCAUGGUUGAACAGUAUGCCCGGGAUGGGGAGAUGCUAUUCUAAUAUUCAUGCUAUUCUAAUAUUCAUGACAUCUUACUUUCUAUAUCUUACGCACACGUUAUGGCUAAUUAUAAUCAUGUUAUUAAUCAUGCAGUUUAUAUGGACGCCGUACCGAACGCCAGAAAUUACAGCCGUGGUACCCUCGUCUGCGUACGUGCAUUCGUACAUAUGGUGCACUAACGCACCAAUUAUAAAUUUCAACAUGGUCGAGUGGUAUCACGGGGAUCGGGUGCUACGGCAGUUUGGCUUCAUCCAACCUAUCCUGGAUCCGCCGUGUGAGGUGGGAGAAGUUCACGGCAAGAAUAAGAGAGGAAAAUCGAUGAUAGAUUGGGGAAUUAAGCACCGAAAAUUUGUGGCGCUGUGGAACGAUCGAUUUCGUCGAAGACCUCAGAUGGUUAUGGCUACCGACUCGCAACCAUCAUUAGAGUAUAUGCAAUGGUACUAUAGUUGCGGGAAGCCAUAUUUAUUCAGAGGCCAGUCGAUUGUAAUCCCCCAGCACAUGCAGCGACAUGGGAGAUCGGCCACAGCGACCCAGCAUGAUCUGGAUCCCAUGGCAUAUUAUUCUCCGGAACCACCAGAGCCCGAGCAGGAACCCCAGCCAGAUCCGAAACAAUCUGGAUUUGUCGGUUCCGAAACAAUCUGGAUUUGUCGGUUCAGAUAGCUAUCAUCCGGAUUUGUCAGGCACUGACAAUUUACCGAGCUUCUCAGGGCCAGAAUAUGCAUACGUCUUCGAAUUAUUCGGAUCCUACUCGUCCGGUCCAUAUCCGCAGCAUUAUGGGACUCCCUCAGGUGCAUCAAGUUCGUCGCUGCCGAACGAGGGACCUGCUCAAAAUGAUUUCCUCCCUAUUUUUACUACACCACCACCUGCGCCAAAUGAUAAUGUCGGUCGUCGCGGGCACCCAGAACGUGACCGUCGACCUCCGAAUAGGUAUACCCCUAUGACUACACCAUCGAACCAUCAAUUUUAGGGGUGUAUGGCACAUGUUUGUACAUUAACACGUUUGUACUUUUUUGUAUCAAUUAAAUUAUUCUAAUUUAAUUAUUCUAGUUUUAGUUAUUGUGCUUAUUGUUCAAUUUCUUUUUACCAAUUUAAUUAUUUUAAAGUUGCAUUAUAUUAAAGCUUAAUUUAAGGUUAUAUGCCUCCAUUUUCGAUAUAAUAUUAAUAAUUCCAAACGCCAUAUACUAUUUUAUAACUUAAUUUUGAUACAAUGUAAUCAUAAUCAUUUGUAUAUUUUUUUAUCAUUACACAUAAAAAUUUUACAAUAUUAGGUCAAUUACGACCCGAUUCGGACGACUGUCCAACAUGAAAGUUUCGGUUAUGGCAUUUAUUCUGACUAUGACCACUUAACCUGCAUAUUCCACAACGCUUUCCGUCGGACUUCUCCCUUAUGUCCAUUUCAUUACGGAUUCUGCUUGACUGCGGAUGACCUCUCGGAUUCCUCCGCAGCCCUCUGUCUGGGAGAAGCUCGAAAGUCGUCAAAGGCACCUCCCACGUUGAUAGGUCAGGCAAGACGGGGAACUCAUUUUCCCAGACACGCAAUGUGCGCUCCAGCGUGUACACAUCAUCGACAUAUUGUUCAACAUUGACGUUAACUUUAGCACACGCUGCUACGACAUGCGCACAGGGAUAAUGAAGUGUUUCGAACCUUCUGCACUAGCACCGUUGGUUCCGGAGAUCAACUCCAUAGGACCUAGUUGGUAUACCAGGUCGACGGCUGAUGCUCUUAGUAACUCGAAAUGUUUCCAAUCGUCGUGAAUAUAUUUCUAUAUUCAUUGACCUCGCCAACCGACGGUUUACGACCAUUGUAUCCCUGACAUGUUCGACAAACACGUGUCCCGCCUCAAUCUGGUCGACUUGCUGCUGACCCAUUCUUGGCAUCAAAGUAGCCAGCCUGUAGAAAGUAGUAGAAAAUACAGAUGCAAUCGGAAGCUGACGUGUUUUUAACAAAACAACGUUGAUCCCCUCGACUAAGUUUGUGGCCAUUUGGCCAAAACGAAAGCCCUCGUCAAAACUUUGAGCCCAUUGCCACAGCUCCAUUGUGCUCAACCAUUGUCGGAAAGAUGUGUUUGUCUAUCCCUCCAUGUCACUCUCAAGUCGGAUCAUUUUUUGCCGGAACAUAUGUGGCUCUAACUCGUACGCUACAUACGUAUUAAGAAAAAUAAGUUCUAGUAACUCGAUAACAUGCCACAUUACAACUUAUAUUGAAAAUAUAAGGUUAUCAUUUAUCCAUUGCCACGACUUGUCUCUUCCAGUCUGCAUUCUUGUAAUCUUUGUGGAAGUUAGUCGCAAUGUGACGGAUGCAGUAAACGGAUCUUCACGGCACACCGGAACGCCUAAUUGCAGCAAUUAAACCCUUCCCUCUAUCGGAGAUGAUGCAAAUGUUAUCGUUGCUAAUAAUAUACCUCCGCAGGUUUAUGAGAAAGAAUUCCCAAGACUCCAUGUUCUCUUUAUCUACGAUAGCAAAUGCUAUCGGGAGCACGUUUCUGUUGCCAUCUUGAACAACCGCAAUAAGUAGGAUCUGUGUAUAUUUUUCAUACAGCCAGGUCCCAUCUACCUGGACAAGUGGCUUGCAGUGGGGAAAUGCCCGCAUACAUGGAUCGAAAGUCCAGAACAUUCGAUGGAAAAUCCUUUUUACUGACUGUAACUGGCCGUCCGGGCUGUAAUAUGGUCUUGUCUGCAACUCAAUCACAGUCCCCGGUACAUACUCUCGCAUAGCAGCUAUCCAACCUUGAAGCUCAUUAUACGAUGAAUCGUAAUCCCCAUACAGUUGCUCCAUCGCCAUCUGUUUAGUAAUCCAUGCCUUCCGAUAUGAGACUCGAUACUGGAAUCGUGCUUGUAUUUCAGCAAUCAAUACCAAAACUUUAAUGGUCGGCAUGUCCUUCACCAUUGGCAUGAUACACGUACAGAUUAUUUUUGAAUCAAGUUUUCCAUGAUCUUCUGUCAUACGUGUUGAUGUGCAUGUAUGAGGACCAACAAAUUUUUGUAUCUCCCACAUCUGAGAACUUUUAAUGAAUGUAGCUCGCACCCGCCAAUUGCAGCCUUCCGCUGCCUUCCAACACUCCCCAACAUAUAUUGUCGGAGUAGACACUUCGACUUUAUAAUCAACCGAUAUAUUCAUGCUGUACCGUUUGAUGGCAUAUACGCACUCUUCUUUACAGCUGAAUCCCUGGCCUAUGAAUAACUCCUCAUCAUCAGAUGUUACGGCCAGCCCGUGACGAUGAACUACUUCAGGGUACUCUGGGAACCCAGCUACAUACGCUGCGUCGGGGUCUAUGAGCGACAUGUGUGGCCCAGGAUUAUUGUGUAUCAAAAUAUGCCGCAUCUGCUCCCCGAUCGAAGAAGCGCUAAUGUCUUCAUCGUCGAUAUCAUCAGGUACAUCGUCCACAUCGGGAUCACCGUCACUAUCGACCUCUUCAUCCCAAUGAUCGCCACCACCUUCUUCUUCGCAACCACAUUCUUCUUCACCACCAACCAUAUCAACAUCGGGUGUAAUAUUCAGGUCGAUACCCAUCCCACCCAUAGUCAAUUCACUAUCAACGUAUGAUAUUGGAGCCACCAUCCACGGUUCUUGAGCUCCGUGUUCUUCAUCAGAUGCAUUGACAUCUUUUUUUUACUCCAUACCGGCUAACUCAGCAAAUAAGUGAAUCGGUGCAUUCUUGUCACUCUCAUUCCCACAGUAGAGAUCGACCAUUGUCUCAAUGUCUUCGUCGUCUGCAAGUUCCAUUUCGACGAAUUUGACUGGAUUUGUCGAAACUGGAAAUUUGUAGAAAAUUUUUACUAUCCUUCUCCCACAACGUCUUAAAAUUUUUGCAUUAAUCAUUGCAUUCAUUUCAUCAAACGAGACAUUUCUAUUAAAUCUCAUUGCUAUUUGUUGCUGACAUUCAAAUACACAUCCAACACUUGUUGUCAAGAUGACUCCGUCGAAAUAAACGCAUACAAAAAACUUAGCAUCCAUCUUCAAUAUUUAAUCUGUCAAAAAAUAAACAAAAUCUCGUAAAACAUCUCGCACGGAUAAUAAAUAACUUAAAUAAAAAAAUUAAUGUUUCAAUAUUCAAUUUUGUACAUGAAAGCCAUUUAACCACUAAUCCUAAUAACUAACACAAUAAUAAUAUUAAUAAUUUUAUAUACAAAAUAAUACUAACUAAAAUUAUUAAUAACUAACUAUAAACAUAAUACUAGUUUUUUACUAACAAUAAUACUAAGUAACAUCUUAAUAAUAAUAAGAAUAAUAAUAAUAAUAAUAAUAAUAAUAAUAAUAAUAAUAAUAAUAAUACUAUAAAAUUUUUAUUUUUUUGUAAUAUUUUGGUAAAAAACCCUAACUAAAACUAUCAAUUUGAGUUUUAUUGAUUUUAAUCUUAAUAACUAAACUAAAACCAAAAAAAAAAAAAAUACAAAUUAUACAAAACAAUAACAAUAACAUAAUCAAUUAUUUUUAAAAAAAUACAUUAUUUUUCUCUUCUCUUUCUCUGUUUUUCUCUUUUUUUCCGCAACACCUCUUCUUUCUUUUCUUUUUCUUCUGAUUUUUCUUAUUUCAGCUGGACAGAGGUCGUGUUAAUAACACGAGUAGUGCCGCCAAUCUGGUUGGCCGGACUGGUGCCGCCAACCUGGUUCCCUCGACUGGUGCCGCCAACCUGCUUCCCUUGUUUGGUGCCGCCAACCUACUUCCCUCCACCCAAGGAGUUGUCAAAUUAGUUCAAGUUUUUUUUUCUGUUUUUUAUUUUUUUAUUUUUUAUUUUUUUGAUAUAUUUUGGUAAAUAAAAAAAUUAUAUAUAUUUUAGUAAAUAAAAAAAAGUUAUAACAUUUUGGUAAUUUUUUUAUAUUAUUUUUGUAAAAAACGCCCAAUUACACCUAUUUCCUACUACCAACAAUCCUACUACCAACAAUCGUCUUUGGUCAUAUUACCACAGUGGAAUACUUUUCCAGCCUUACCUUUUUCUUUUUUCUCACCAAGGCUGCUGUUGUCAAUCUAAUAUCAUGAAUCAACUUGUCUUUAUUUUACACAGAAAAGAAACACCUUUUUUUAUAGGUUAUUUCCUUUUUUUAUAUGUUCUCAACUUCUCAUGACAAAGAAAGGGGGGAAGAAACCUUUCUCUUGCAUUCCCAUGAGCAUUAUCAAAACCUACAUCCCUGCUAUGUUCUUUUUAAACCUUGUAAACUACGUAAAGUCCUUAUUCAAAUACGCAUUUACUCGUCUGGGUCUUUUCAAACAACCUCCGCCAGAAGAAGAUGAUCAUACCGGCGACAGUUAUGUCCUUUUGACCGACAGUCGAAUCGGGUCAAUAGUCCUGGUCCCUGUCCAGGUUGUUACAGCGAUGAUCAUGACCAACCUGCCGAUUAUUGUGUACGGUGAUUUCGUCAAAAGGUUUGGAGAUGAAGUGAUGAAGAAGGAUAGGGUAUGCAGUGUGUGCUUGGAAGCAAUGGAGAAAAGGGAUGAGAUGAGAGAGCUUUGCAAGUGUAGCCAUGUGUUCCACAAGGAAUGUAUAGAUAGAUGGGUAAAGGAGGGGAGGCUCACUUGUCCCUUGUGUCGCUCUGCUUUGUAUCCUGGUCCUAUGGAUUUCGGUCGGCCAGACCCCCGCAACAGUUUCUUGGACUGUGACCACUACACCAAAACAGGCUUUUAGCGGCGCUUUUUUAAGCCUUUAGCGGCGCUUUUUAGCUCCACAAAUACUUUUAGCGGCGCUUUUAGAAGCGCCGGAAAAAAUGCCGCUGAAGAACGCGUCGCUAACUUUAGCGGCGUUUUUUUUCUAAAAACGCCGCUAAAGACAAGGACCUUUAGCGGCGCUUCUACCACAAACGCUGCUAAAGACCAAGACCUUUAGCGGCGCUUUUCCCACAACGCCGCUAAAGACCAGGUCCUUUAGCGGCGUUUUUUCCACAAACGACCAAGACCUUUAGCGGCGCUUUUCCUAAAAACGCCGCUAAAGACCAAGACCUUUAGCGGCGCUUAUACCACAAACGCCGCUAAAGACUAAGACCUUUAGCGGCGCUUUUACCACAAACGCCGCUAAAGACUAAAACCUUUAGCGGCGCUUUUUAUCACAAACGCCGCUAAAAACAGAAUCUUUAAAAAAAAUUAUUUUAAUCAAAUAAUAUUUAUUUUUAUGAUAAAUAUUAUAUUAUAUUAUAUUAUGUUUUAUUUUUUAAAUUUGAACUUUAAAUAUACUUUUUAAGGAUAAAUAAAAAAUAUUAUUUAAAUUAAAUUUUCUAUGAAAAUUUUAACUUUAAAAUUAAAUAUAAAAAUUAAUGAAUUUAGUUUUAGAAUUUAGGGCCGUAAAUUAAUAAGACAAUUAAAAUCCAAAAGUUAGAACUCAAGUUGUCGCAAAUAUUAAAGUAAAAAUAAAAAUUUAGAAUCAAAACUAAAAUAAACAAUGGAAAGAUAGCUCAAAUGUAAGUUUUUGCUACAAGUUACACAGACAAUAACGAAAAAUUAAACACCACACAUAAAAUUUAUCAAACUAGUUAAGAAAUACAUGGUGCAGCCAUGCAAUAUAAAUAGUUAAGAAAUACAUUGUGCAGCCAUGCAGUAUAAAUACAAUAGAAUCAUAGGGUAAUUUUGCAUAAAUAUCUUCAGAGUACCAAGAACAAUUUGUCACAAAAUUAUAAAACAUGAAAAAAAAAAACAGGUAGCAGACAAGCUAAUUGUUACUUUUUGUUUUGCUUCCAAGGCUUCCUCAGCUGCCUUCAUCUUGGCAACAAAAUCAUCUUCAUCAUCCCUGCUUAAGAAAACAAAGAACCUAUUGUUAAACAAUUUAGAACUUGAAAAAGAAAAGAACCAUGUUACUCGGACAUAGGUAUGAGUGUUAGGUGUCAGUAUAAAGACAUGUCAGAUAUGGGUAUGAAGGCAUGUCUGAGAUGAGUAUGUUCAAUUUUUUUUCCAAGUUUUCCCACAUCCAUGGGUUCCGAACACUGGUACUUAAAUCAUAAAGAGUCGGAAUAAAAAGCAUAACCAUAAUAAUAAAGUAUGAACCUAAAAGAGCAAGUACAUUCAACAACAGAUGUCUUGAUAAUGAAUCAGCAUAACAAGCAAUUCGUAGGCUAUGAUCAAUGACCCCAUGAAUAAUUAAAAAAACCCCAUGAAUCAGCAUGUUCAUGAGUCAAAACAAUCUACAGUUCAUACAGUAAUCAGUACUAGUUUUGAAAUUCCAUUCAUCAACAGAAGAGAUUAUAUUUGUAAAAAAAAAAAAGCACAAAGCCAUCAUAUACAUCAACAAACUCCCUAUAAAUCCUAUAAAAAAAACAUGAGAACAACUAAAAAUCAUAUACAUAAAAUAAGAUAGAUACUCUGCAAAGACACAGCACAAAAACCCAGCAAGACAGAUCAAAUUUUAAAGCAAAUUUUAAAGCAAAUUGCUGCUGAAUUAUAAAUAAAAUAAGGGAAGAAGAAACAGGCAACCUUAAAACCAGAUCUGACGGCGAAAUCAGUGGUGGUAGUAUUAUUAAACCAUCCAAAUGCAAUCAAAAUCACGUUAUUAUUAUUUUUCUAUUAUUUGUAUAGCUUUGGUUCAUCAAACUAAACUAGAAGAAUAGCUCGAAAUAAGAACUAUAGUUUUUAAGUGUAACAAAACAUACAAAUUGAGAAAAGAUACCAUAGAACUCUCUUAUGCUUGCUUUCCUUUCAUGUGUAGACAUGGUGGUAGUACCAUCGACAUAAACCUGCAUGAUAUGAUAACGAUGAAGAAACAGCUAAUUUUCACUAUUACAUCAAGAGAUAAACAUGAAGUAACAAAAUAUAACCUUGUAAAUUAAGAUUCUUAACAGCCCGAGUGCACCUGCAAGGUGAAAGUCAGUCCACUGCACCAAGAAUAGGAAGAGGUGUGCAGUCGGACUGUAUGACAUUCUCAUUUGAAGGCAUUCACCGUCAUAUUCCCUCGGAAAAUCAGAAGCCCUGCACCUUGCAUUACACGAUGGCCAUUUACACAGGAUGAGAAGAACAUAAUUAANNNNNNNNNNNNNNNNNNNNNNNNNNNNNNNNNNNNNNNNNNNNNNNNNNNNNNNNNNNNNNNNNNNNNNNNNNNNNNNNNNNNNNNNNNNNNNNNNNNNNNNNNNNNNNNNNNNNNNNNNNNNNNNNNNNNNNNNNNNNNAAAAAAAUGGCACUCAUAAUUAAGAAAUAUAGUGUCCAAUUGGGGAAAAUAAGUGCCAGAUAAAGAAAUUGAACUCAACCUAUCAUUUAACUAGAAAUAUUAAAUGCAUUACUCACUUAAAAUAAGCUGGAAGAACCUCACCUGGUUCAUUAUUAUACAAGUUCUUUUGAAGACUACACAUAACAUUGUAUGAAUAGCUGAAAAAGAAGUCCUUUGUAAGAUCCACUGAGCUUAGGAGCUUCUUGUACCUAAACAAAAAUGAAACAACAAAUAUCAAAUUACAAACCAUAUGUGUAAAAUGCAUAGCAGAAUAAAAGCACCUGGGUUAAAAACAAACACAAACGAGACUCUAUCACAUACAGACAAUUUUCUACUUUUCACACAACAGAACAUAAUAGAAUAGAACAUCUUUCUGCAAAACAAUGACUCUCUAGCUGUAGACGCAGUUCUUUAACAGAAUAGAAGAAUACCUGUUCUCUUUCCUAAAGUCCGUAAUGCUUGGGUUAACAGAUGAAUUUGGGAGGGGAAUCAUCUCACUUUUCGAAACUGCAUAAACAUUGUGUCUGAAAAGUAUUAUUACAAAUUUAAUAAACCCUAAAACAUUACCCAAGAAAAAUUAUUGGAUAAGAAUUUACAUAACAUUAACAGUCCCUAAAGUCAUAUUACAAAUUUGCAAACAAACAUAAUUUAUAGCAAUACGCAUAUUUACACAACAAAAAAGAAGAAGAAGAAGAAAAAAGAUUUUUUUAAGCAAAGACAGAAAAAGAAACUGAAACAGAGAUUCUUCACCUUCUUCGACCUUUUUUUUAUCUCUUUAUUUCAGCGAACAGCCUUACUCCCCCUCUUCGUUUCCUUUAUCUUUCAACUCCUCUUCCUCCGAUUUCCUUUAUCUCUUUAUUUUUCUUAAGAAAAUCUAAAUCAUAAAGAAAAGAAAGCAAAAUUGGAAGCAAAACAGAGAAGAAGAAUGAGAGAAGAAUAUGAAAAGCUUACAGUGACAGAACAACCCAAAAAACAGAUGAAGGCAGCCAAGUCGAACACAAAGAAUACAAUAAUAAUGGAAGAAGGAGACGCAAAUAUAUCUUCUGCUUCAAAACAUGGAAAGGUUUUGUUCAAAUCUCUUUUCAUGCUUCUUCUUGGUGGGUUUAGACUUUAGAAUUGAUGUGCAUCUCCAUGCCUUAAACUGCAGGUUGAUGAUGAGUGCGUAGAAAGUUUUAUGGAGCAACUUAAAGCCAAAGUGAAGAGUAAAGUAGAUUAUUCAGACUUCCAAAUCUUAGAAGAGGAUUUAGGGAAGGAUUUGAGAAUGGUUGGGAGAUUUAGUGUUCCGCUACGCCUGGCUCUUAUUGUAAACAGAAUCAAAGAUGGGUUUGGCUUCACUUGGGAAGAAACACAGAGUUGAAAAACUUCUGGGUUUCUUUCUUGGAUGUGGGAAAUUAGGGAUUUUAGGGGGGGAAGUUGGGGAUUUCGGGGGGAGGGGGGUAGGGAAUUAAAAAAAAUGGCAUUAUUUUUUUAAAAGUAAAUUUUAUUUUGUGGCGUUUUUUAUAAAAACGCCGCUAUUGCUUAUCUAUUGCGGCGUUUUUUACACAAACGCAGCAAAAAAUUAUUUUAUUUGGAAUAAAAUGAGGGAAUUUAAAAAAUGGCGCUAUUUUGUUAAAAGUAAAUUUUAUUUUGUGGCGUUUUUUUAUAAAAACGUCGCUAUUGCUUAUCUAUUGCGGGCAAAAAAUUAUUUUAUUUGGAAUAAAACGACACUGUUUUGUUAUAUAAAAUCUAAAUUUUUAAAAUAAAAUUAUUUUUGUGGCAUUUUUGUAAAAAACGCCAUAAAAAAUUAUUUCAUUUGGAAUAAAACGACACUAUUUUGCUAUGCUAAAAAUCUUUUAUUUUGUCUGUUAAAAAUUAUUAGUUAAGUGAUUUUAUAAAACAUUUAUUAUUUUUUUAUAAAUUAAAAUUUUAUAAAAAAAUCAAGUACUCUCAAAAUAAAUAUCGUAUAUUUUAAUAAGAAAAAAAUGAUUAAAUGGCUGUACUUAAUUAUUAAGUUAGAAUUAUUCAAUGUAAGCAAUUAAUCUCUCACAUAUCAAGUUUCUAUUAAAGAUUGAGACAUUAAUCAUGAUUUUAUAUUGUUCAUUUCCGAUCUAAUCUCCAUUUUAUUAGAGAUAUUGUAACACCCCUUACCCGUAUCCAACACCGGAAUAGGGUACGAGGCAUUACCAAAACACAUACGCUUGUAAACGUAUUUAAGUGAGUUAUAAAAUUUCAACUAAAUUAAAACUUUCAAAAUAAUUAGAAUGCUUCUAUAACUUUUCACAAUAUAUCCUCAAAAUAUUAUAAUCAUAAUAAUUAGGGCCUACGAGACCCGGUACAUACUCAUACAAUUCNNNNNNNNNNNNNNNNNNNNNNNNNNNNNNNNNNNNNNNNNNNNNNNNNNNNNNNNNNNNNNNNNNNNNNNNNNNNNNNNNNNNNNNNNNNNNNNNNNNNNNNNNNNNNNNNNNNNNNNNNNNNNNNNNNNNNNNNNNNNNNNNNNNNNNNNNNNNNNNNNNNNNNNNNNNNNNNNNNNNNNNNNNNNNNNNNNNNNNNNNNNNNNNNNNNNNNNNNNNNNNNNNNNNNNNNNNNNNNNNNNNNNNNNNNNNNNNNNNNNNNNNNNNNNNNNNNNNNNNNNNNNNNNNNNNNNNNNNNNNNNNNNNNNNNNNNNNNNNNNNNNNNNNNNNNNNNNNNNNNNNNNNNNNNNNNNNNNNNNNNNNNNNNNNNNNNNNNNNNNNNNNNNNNNNNNNNNNNNNNNNNNNNNNNNNNNNNNNNNNNNNNNNNNNNNNNNNNNNNNNNNNNNNNNNNNNNNNNNNNNNNNNNNNNNNNNNNNNNNNNNNNNNNNNNNNNNNNNNNNNNNNNNNNNNNNNNNNNNNNNNNNNNNNNNNNNNNNNNNNNNNNNNNNNNNNNNNNNNNNNNNNNNNNNNNNNNNNNNNNNNNNNNNNNNNNNNNNNNNNNNNNNNNNNNNNNNNNNNNNNNUUGAUCAGAUAAGUGUAGCCGAAGCUAUCACUUAUCACUUUCCACUUGUCACUUGAUCAGAUAAGUGUAGCUGAAGCUAUCACCUAUCACUUUGUCACUUGAUCAGAAGUACUCAAAUCCGGCGUUCCGCUCAAUUUGAUCAUUUAUUCAAUUUUCGUAUUUUUAUUUUACUCUCUUUUCAACACUAAAUACAUUUCAUCAUACAUUAUAUAAUUCAUGAAAUUAACAUUUAAUCAUUAAAUUUCAGUCAUAUGAACUUACUAUUUCAUUAUCUUACCACACUUGUUUCCUAUACACAUCACACAAGAUAUAAACNNNNNNNNNNNNNNNNNNNNNNNNNNNNNNNNNNNNNNNNNNNNNNNNNNNNNNNNNNNNNNNNNNNNNNNNNNNNNNNNNNNNNNNNNNNNNNNNNNNNNNNNNNNNNNNNNNNNNNNNNNNNNNNNNNNNNNNNNNNNNNNNNNNNNNNNNNNNNNNNNNNNNNNNNNNNNNNNNNNNNNNNNNNNNNNNNNNNNNNNNNNNNNNNNNNNNNNNNNNNNNNNNNNNNNNNNNNNNNNNNNNNNNNNNNNNNNNNNNNNNNNNNNNNNNNNNNNNNNNNNNNNNNNNNNNNNNNNNNNNNNNNNNNNNNNNNNNNNNNNNNNNNNNNNNNNNNNNNNNNNNNNNNNNNNNNNNNNNNNNNNNNNNNNNNNNNNNNNNNNNNNNNNNNNNNNNNNNNNNNNNNNNNNNNNNNNNNNNNNNNNNNNNNNNNNNNNNNNNNNNNNNNNNNNNNNNNNNNNUACAUACCUUCUUACCAUAAAAUUUUCAGAAUUUUUGGUUCAGCCAAAUAGUACAGUUUAUUCUUUAAAGUUUUCCCUGUUUUGCUGUCUGACAGUUCCGACCACUCUUCACUAAAAAUUAAUUAUCUCAUUGUACAUAAUUUGGAUGAUGUUUUAGUUUGUUUCUUAUAAAAAUAGACUCAUUAAGGAUUCUAACCAUAUAAAUUAUAACUCAUAAUCAUUUUUGUACAAUUUUUAAUGAUUUUACAAAUUCAGAACAGGGGAACCCGAAUUCAUUCUGCCCUUGUCUCACAAAAUCUAUUAUAUCUCAUGAUUUACAAUUUCAUUACUUACACCGUUUCUUCUAUGAGAAACUAGACUUAAUAAGCUUUAAUUUCAUAUUUUAUUCACCCUCNNNNNNNNNNNNNNNNNNNNNNNNNNNNNNNNNNNNNNNNNNNNNNNNNNNNNNNNNNNNNNNNNNNNNNNNNNNNNNNNNNNNNNNNNNNNNNNNNNNNGGUGAUUUUUCAAACUCAGACCACUGCUGCUGCCCAAAACUGUUUAGUGUAAUAUAUUGAUUACCAAUUUGACUCUAAACUUUUAAUACAUGAUAAUUUCGUCCCUGGGCUUGAAAAAUGAAAUUCUUGCAAUAUAAUCCUUAAUUCAAGCCUAGUAUUUCUCAUACAUAUCAAUAACAGCCCAUAGAUUCCAUGAAAUUUUAGAAUUUAUCCAUGAUUUAAUCCCUAAAACAUGUUUUCCUCUAAAAUUCUUUAAUAAAACACCUUUAAACAUCCAUUAACAUAUCAAUUUCAUCAAAAAAUAUCAACAAUCAUAUGAACUUAUCAUUAGUAUCUUCCAAAACUUUCAACAAAAUGAGAAACUAGUAGAAUACUAAGUUGGACCUAAUUGUAAAAAUCUAAAAAUAUAAAAAUUUCAAGGACAAAGCAAGAAUUAAACUUACGUGAAGCCAAAAUAUGGAAUACCAGCUCCAAACCCUCUUCCAUAGCUGUCUCCCACCGAAAUUUCAAGAAGAAAUGGUCUUGAAAUGCUUAAAAUAAAAUUUGGCCACAUAAACUUUAUUGUAAUUCCAAUUUUGUCCUUAAUACAUAAAAAUCUUAGAUUUUUUUUAACGGUAUGUCAUCUCAGCCCCUAAAUUGGUCCAUUUUCUCUUUUAGUCCUUCCUUAUUUAAUUGUUAAGCUAUUUAAUCACUUUAGCAAGUUUUGCAUCUUUUCAACUUAGUCCUUUUUAAUUAAUUAACUGCCAAAACAUUAAAAUUUUCUGACGAAACUUUAACACUACCAUAUUGACACUCCGUAAAUAUUUAUAAAAAUAUUUACGGCUCGGUUUAUAAUAUCGAAGUCUCGAUACCUCUUUUUCUCAAUUUCUUGACUUAAUAAAUUUUUAUAAAAUACAAAUUACUAAUUUAAAAAUCUCUUAAAAAUCAUAUUUGGCUCGUAAUUAUUGAUAAUAAAAUUUACGAGCUUAUUUUCUGAAUUUGGUGAUCUCGUACCACUGUUUUCGACAUUUUUGAAAAUCGGGCUAUUACAGAUAUUUCUUCCUAACUAAAAUAUAAUUAUUUUACUAGAUGUUCGAUGUGGAAUGAUUUUAGUUUUUGUAUUUUAUUUUUAUUUGCUAUAAUUUGGUCCUAUAUAUCCAAAAUAGAUAGUUACCUAUCUGUAUCAAUUUGUUACAUAUUUUUAUUAAUUUUUUUAAAUCUAAUAUUUAAAUAUAUCAAAUGGUUUAGAUUAAAUAUUUUUUAGUUAUAAACACCGCUAAUGUUACAUUUUCCGGCGUCUACAGAAGAAACGCCACUAAUAAAUUAAAUUCUUGUAAUGAAACGACACCGUUUUGAAAAAUUCUAAUACAUAUUAGCGGCGUUUUUGCUAUAAACGCCGCCAAAGCUCGCAUAUUUUAUAAUUUUUAAUAUUCAAUUAUUGUAUAUUGCAUAUCAAUUUUAAUAUAUAAAUUUAUUAUUUCUCUUUUACAAUUAUAUAAGAACUUAUUUAAUAUAUAAAUUAAAAAAUACUAAUUAAUCUAAACCUUAAACCCUAACUCGGCCCUGAAUCUCUAAACCCUAAAUCACUAACUCUUAACCCCAAACCCCAAACCCCAAACCACUAACCUCUAAACCUUAUUUAAUAUAGAAAUUAAAAAACACUAAUUGAUCUAAAUCAUAAACCCUAACAUGACCCCAAAUCCCUAACCCCUAAACAUUAUUUAAUAUAUAAAUUAAAACACACUAAUUAAUCUAAACCCUAAACCCUAACCUAACACUAAAUCUAUAAACCCUAAAUCCCUAACUCUUAAUCUCUAACCCUUAACCCCUAUCCCCUAACUCAUAAACCUUAAAUCACAACCCUUAAAUCAGAAUCCCUAAUUCCAUAAUUUAUAAACCUUAAAAUUGCAACUCUUAAACCAGCCCUAAAUCCUAAAUUAACCAUAUAUAUACCCUAAACCAUAUAUAUUAAACCCUAAAUUAUAAUGAUAAUUAAAUUAAAUAUUUUAAAAUUAAUACUAUCGUAUCUUUUACAAUUAUAUUUGAAAUUAUUUAAUAUAUAAAUUAAAAAUCAAUCAAUGAUGUACACAAAAAAAUUUAAAAUUAUUUUAAAUAAUAGUAUUUUAAUUUCUUCAUUUUUAACAAAUAUUAUUCUAUGUUUUUUUAUUUCAACUUAUUUUUACGUGUCAUUAUUUCAAAUUUAUACAUUUUUAACAUAUAUUCAAUUAAAAAUAAAUUAAAUAGUAAAUAGCAGAUAAAAUGUUUUUGCGGCGCUUUUUCAAAAACGCCGCUAAAGCCCUGAGCAUUAGCGGCGCUUUUUCAAAAACGCCGCUAAAGAUCUGAGCAUUAGCGGCCCUUUCUCAAAACGCUGCUAAAGAUCUGAGCAUUAGCGGCGCUUUUUUAAAAACGCCGCUAAAGAUCUGAGCAUUAAGCGGCGCUUCUUCAAAACGACCGCUAAAGAUCUGAGNNNNNNNNNNNNNNNNNNNNNNNNNNNNNNNNNNNNNNNNNNNNNNNNNNNNNNNNNNNNNNNNNNNNNNNNNNNNNNNNNNNNNNNNNNNNNNNNNNNNCGUUAUUUUUAUAUCUGAUUCUGACACGAAAAAAAUAAAAAAUAUUUUUUUGUACUGUGUACUGCAUGCUGGCCAUUGACAGGCCAGCACCCAAAAAUUUUUUUUUUCGUUUUUUUUCCGUAUAUCAGUAUUAUAUAAUUUUAAAAAAAAUACAUGGGUUUCGGCCAUUGAUAGGCCAGAACCCAAAAAAUUAAUUUUUUUAAGUCUGACACAAUGAUUAGGCAAUCAUUGGUGCAAAAAAAGAGUGGAUACUGUUCAUUUCAGGUUAUUUUGGUGAUUAUUUUUAAACUUGAGUUAUUUUUGUAAAUAUAAUAUUUUUUUGGGUUAUUUGGGUAAAAGGGCCUCAAAAGCACAAAGCAGGCGAUGUAUCCAAUGCUAUCAGUACAUCAAUGAUUACAUACCAAUAUAUAAUAAACAUUAUCAUAAAAGUAUUUAUUUCAUUUAACAAUUUUUAAAUUAAAUAACUUAAACUACAAGGAAAAUUUAAAAUCUACAUAUGGUUAAGUUAGGAAUUAAUUUUUUUUUAAAUGAAGGUUGAAGUAAAUUAUUAGGAUAAAUCUUAAAAUUAUAUAUGAAUUUUAGUUUAAUGUGUAAUUUUAUAUAUGUACUUUAAUUUUGUACAAUUUUUAUUCACGAAAAUUUAAUUUGUUCUAAUCCUCAUAAAUUAUUAACAUAAUUAUUGAUAUAACAUCAUUUUAUAUUUAUAUAUUACAUACACGUAUAAUUAUAUUUAUCCAAUAUAAAAAUAUAUUAAUAUAUUUGUUUCUUUAAAUGUGCAUGAUUGAAUCAAAAUUAAAGUUUCAUGUGUAUAAUUAUAUCAAAUUAAAAUUUAUGUAUCGAAUUACAUAUCGAAUUAAAGUUCAUGUAUACUUUUGUGAUUUAUCCAAAAAUAAUAUGAAGAUGUAAAUAAUUAAAGUCUAUUUACACUAAACACGGGCGUAUCUUGGCUAAUGAUGAUGCAUCAUUGACCCUACAUGCAUAUAUGCAUGUUAUUGCAUCUAUCAUCCUAUUCUUCGGGCCACAAUUCCACACGCACCACAUUAACAUGCAAACAUAUAUGACACACAUACAUACACAUGAUGUAAUAAUAAAUUACUCUCUUUAAUCGAUUGGUCUAGCUCUAGCAUAUAUGAUUUUACCUUGAAAUAGAAUUAUUAACUCUUCAAAGCAAAUUUAGCCUCCAUAAUUACAAGUAUUCCUAUAUGUCUUGUGGACCAGUAUUUAUCACCUUCAUUAGGGUUUAGCUUAAAUUACUCUAUCUGUUGAUUGCUUGCUAAGAUAACACCCAGCACUUUAAUUGUUCCUCGCUGUAUAUAUAUGUUAUCUACACCUGAAUAAAGCAAACUCAUUACUUUACAAAGUGGGCAGACUGGUCCCCAAAAAAAGCAUUGCCUACUCAUAUCAAUCCACAAAAUACUGCACUUCUUUGCAUUACUUUGCUUCGUCUUGUGGCAAUAAAAAUUUAUUGCAACAAUCAGAAUUUUGCUGCAUUUGGCUGAAAUUGGGUAGUACCUGAACCAAUGUUGAAGGUAUUAUUGCAAUAUCAAAAUUGAUUGAUGAAAUGCCAAAAGUUUUAAACCUGCCCCCACUUUUUCUUCUUGAGAAUUUUAAAUGAUUUUGCAGAGCAAGAGGAAGAAAUGAGACUAUCUACCUAACAUACAACUAUAUCCUUUAAACAAAGUUCAUUCACCUAUAAAACCCCAAGAAUUUUCAUGGAAAAGAAAUGUCUGGUAUUGAAGAUUUUGUGUGUAACUUGACACUAUUAUUGGGUUUUCGGUGGAUAAUUAGUCUUAAAGGAAGAAGGAAAUAGAAAAGAACUUGAAAGACAAAGAGAAAAGGGGGAAAAUGGGGUACUAUAUUUAUAAUUGAGAGGGAGAGCUGAGCAAGCAACAAUCACACCUCCAUUGUUGCCAAAUGUUGUUAUUGGCUAUUGCCUGUUGCUGUUAAGGCUUUCUCUUUCUCUCAAUGGGUUCUUCUUUGUGAUAUAUAAAUAAAUUUUCACAGAGUAAAAGAAAAGGAGGAAGCUUUAAGCUUUUCUUAAAGCUGAAGCCAGCAAUGGGUUUGAGUAGACCUCAAAAGCCUCCCAGUGGAAUUCCCACUAGAUGGGUUUCUCUCUUUUGCAUUGUCAGUUUCUUCUUGGGUGUACUUGUUGUCAACAGGUUUUUUUUUCUCUCUUCUCUAAGUGGACUAUGAAAUGAACAGGUUCUUGUUUGGAGUUGCCAAACUUUCAGAGUUUAUGUUGCAUUUUAAUGGUUUUUCUUAGAAGCUUUAACGAUUGCAGCAUUUCUCUGCCAUCUUGUUUUUUAGUACAUAUUGGAGGGUUUUGCUAAUUUGAUGCAGAAUUAUGAAGCACUUAUGUCUAUGGUUUUAUGGUUUCAAUUUUUGAAAAUCAGCUUCCAGUAAUGUGCUUUUUGUUAGAUAUUGACCCAAAUUCACCGGUUGUUGAGCUCUAUAAGCCUGUAUUAUCACCAAUAAACUUGAGCUUUACUAAGGUUGCUUUUUAUUUUCAUUUGUUUUCUUUAGGCCAUCAAAUUUUGUUCUUAUCAAUUGCAUUAUAUCUGCAUUUCUUAAUUCACCAUGUUGUUGUAUGUAAUUGUGCAUUGACUAGUGGUGCAUGGCGUUCGUUUACAGAUUUUGGGAUCCAGUUGAAGUGGAAGAGGAGGCUUCUUCCGCACAGAAACAUCGGAGAAACGAAGUUCAUCCCAUGGUUAUUUGUGAUAAGGUAAGAUCAGAGUACAAUGAUGUCAUAAGCUAUACAUUGCAUGCCUAGAAUCUUGAUGGUGUUAUGUAUGUUGUAACAGGAUGUUUCUGUUCGGACAGGGAACAUUCUUUCUCGAGUUUCACAAACCCGGGAUGUAAUUAAGUAAGUUCUUAUGUCUUGCCGGAGAAUUCUUUGGUAGGUUAUGUUAACUUUCUCCUUUAGUACAUCUAGUAUCUCUAAAAUGCAUUUAGAACUUAAGGCAGUUCGCAUUAUACAUACUUUCAGUACAUUAGACAAAACAAUCUCCUCAUUGGAGAGGCAGCUAGCUGCAGCUCGAGCUGCCAAAGCAGAUACCGAGGAAGGAUCUCCGGUGGUUACAAAAUCAGGAACCAAGGACUUGAAUGAAAGCCGGAGAGUAUUCUUUGUUAUGGGAAUUAUUACGGCGUUAAGGAAUAGAAAACGAAGGAAUUCAAUCCGGGAGACUUGGAUGCCUCAAGGUUUGAUUCAAUACUCUUUUGGCAUUCUACCAGGGAAGGGAUGUAGUCAAGUAUUUAUACUUUUCGAGGUUAUUGUUCUUAGGGGAGGAAUUAAAGAGGUUGGAGAAAGAGAAGGGAAUUAUAAUUCGAUUCGUCAUAGGACACAGGUAAAUUCGAUUGAAAAUCGAAGUGUUUAACUUUAACAUGCUAGUUAACUUUGUUAGAAUGAUAAUGUAUCCUUGAUUCUCAGUUCAACCCCAGGUGGUGCUUUGGAUCGUGCUAUCAAUGUGGAAGAAGGGCAACACAAGGACUUUUUGCACCUGGUAUGCUCUCACUUCCAGUCCGGACCCGAUUUAGAAAUUCAAAACUUACGUAGAAUCGAAUGUUUUGUUUGGCAGAAUCAUAUUGAAGGUUACCAUGAACUAUCAAAGAAAACUCAAGUGUACUUUUCUGCAGUGGUUGCAAAGUGGGAUGCCGAUUUCUAUCUUAAAGUCGACGAUGAUGUACAUGUAAAUCUAGGUUAGUAUUGCUACAUUAAAGUUUCUCAGUACUUUCAUUUCUUCUCAAACAGAUCUAUAUCCUGGUGACUAACUUGAUAUCAAAUUAUUCAAUAGGUGUGGUAAGUUCUACACUGGCCCGUCACAGACACGAACCCCAUGUUUAUAUUGGUUGCAUGAAGUCUGGACCUGUUGUGGCACAGAAGUAAGGAUGAACUUUUUGUGAACAAGAUUUUUAGUGUCAUUUAUAUUGUCUUUCCCACCAAGUUACCCUCUUGCCUUUCGCAUGCAGAGGCAUCAAAUACCGCGAGCCAGAAUAUUGGAAAUUUGGUGAGGGAAACAAGUAUUUCCGGCAUGCAACUGGACAAAUAUAUGCAAUCUCCAAAGACUUGGCCACCUAUAUCUUUGUCAAUCGGUAAACACUUAUUCAGCAACAUUUUGUCAAUAAUGAUCAGAUCGCUUAUUCAUUUGUGUUUUCUGUCCAGGCACAUACUUCAUAGGUAUGCGAAUGAAGAUGUCUCCUUAGGAUCCUGGUUUAUCGGUCUCGAUGUUGAGCACAUAGAUGAUAGAAGUCUAUGCUGUGGUACCACUCCCGCUGGUAAGAUAUGGUAGCCAUUAUGCUUGAAUGGUACAAUGUUCACUUUGUAUUCUUUGUUUUCUCCUGCAACCGAGAGUGCACAAAUAAUCUAGUGUUUAAAUUUCUCAAAUAGAUUGCGAGUGGAAAGCUAAAUCAGGGAAUCACUGCGGUGCAUCAUUCGAUUGGAGCUGCAGUGGCAUUUGCAAGUCAUCAGUGAGAAUGAAGGAGGUGCACCAGCGUUGUGGGGAAGGCGACCAAGCCAUUUGGGAUACUAGUUUCUGAAAGCAUAUCAGGGACCUGGGUAUAGCAUAUUUGUGUAUAUUUGAACAAAUUUUAUGCAUCGAACAAUGCCGUCAACCCCGAUCUUUUUUCCUUCCAAUGUUACGGGGCAAUCGGUACUGGAACUGGACUACACUAGUCAUUGCAUGUAUUCUCAUUUCCAGAAAAUGAAAAUGAAGAUGUUUUAGUUUUAAAGCCUCGAUUCACUUCAACUGAAUUUGAUGAUAGCACCAUUUCAGUAGGGGCUUGAUUUGCAGCAAUAUUGGGAAACUCCGCAGAGACUCUAAGCUUCAUUCUUUCAGGUAAAACCGCGAAACUUCUGGAUUAAGACAGACAAAACUUUGAAGCCAAAUUUAAUGGAUCAUUUGAAUCAAAAUUUUGACAAUGAAUUUUUACAGCGAAUCAUGCAGGUAGUGUACUUUCGUCCAUAACAAUCUCAAUGAGCCAACUAGAGCUAAAAGCUCCAAUGGAAAUUUAUACCUGCCGUUGCCAAAACUCACCCCACUCGGGUGGCAGUUCUGUUGAUGGAAUUUUAGCCUUGAAAAGCAAACGCACUGGAGCAUAAGUUAAGCAUCCUUUGGAGGGGCAAUGAGUUUAAUUUGGUGAGAUAUUUAUUUAAAUAUAAAUGUUGCGGUGAAAUGAGAUUAAAAUAAAAAUAAUCAUUAUAGACAUUAAUUUAUAAUAUAUUUAUAAUACAAUAAAUAAUUAAAGUUAUAUUUAUUUUUUACCAAUCAAAACACUAAUUCUUUUGCCUUCUCCUUCUUUAAAACAGCUCUAGUGAAAAAUCACAAUUGUAGUGCAAUAAAAUGCCUCAACUGAAUCAAAUCACAGAUGAGAAAUCUAACCUCAUCGGAGCUAAAUGGGUAUCCAAAGGGAGCCUUAGAUUUCAAGGGACCCUUAAUUAAAAGUAUAUUAAAGUCAAACCACGAGGUGUGGCAUGUUGAUUACACACCUUCACUUAUGGGAAAAGAAUACAUUUCAUGGUUAACCGUUUCAUCUCUUCGGAGAACACCCGCAGCAAGGGGAUUAAUCACUUUUAUUGAUGUUGGAAUACCUUGGUUUUUUUUUUUAAAAAAAAACAUAAUGACUUAUUUAACUUGCAUUGUUUGUCAAAUUACCCCAAAAUGAAUGAAAAAGCUAACGUUUGUUAAAUUUGCUAACGUGGUAUCAUGUGUAUGUUAUGUUAGCAAUUUAAUUUUUAAAAAUUGAAUAAUAUUUUUAUAAGUUUUAAUAAUUUUAGUAACUUUUUAUUUUAAAAAUAAAUUUUAUAAUUUUUAUUAAUUUUUUAACUUUUAAGAAAUUAUUUAUUUAUUUAUGUGGCAUUUACGUAGCAAUCGUCAUUUUAAAAUUUUUAAAUAUUUAAUAAUAUUUUAAAUGAUGGUUUUUUAAGGAAAUGAUAGUUUUCAAAAUUGUCAUUUUAAUUUAUAAUUUAUAAAUAUAUAUUUAAAAUAUAACCAUGAAUACGUUCUAAAAGUAAUGCAUCUUGAAAAGUGGACAAAAAUAGGAGUUUUGAUUAAUUUCCUUUUUUUUUUUGCAUGAAUAAAAAGUCUUACCGUAUAUUUAUGAAAAAAGAGUGAGUGGUUGAGAUUCUACCUAAUGGGCCGGGUCCUUGUUUUUCUAUCCAAGUCCUUCUUAAAUUAAAAAUAUUAAACUCGAGUUCAAUCACCCGUGUUAAUUUUUUAAAAUUAAUUUUUAUAUAAAAUAAUUUUAAAAAUAUAGUACAUCAAAUCCACUUAUAAUAAAUGUUUCCUAACAAAUUAAAAAUAUAUUUAAAAAAGGCUUUAUACUUAAAUAACGAAAUGUUAUCUGUAAUUAAGUUUUCAUACCAAAUAUUUCAACUGAUUUAAAUUCUUAAAAAAUUAUUGAUUGAUUUUUCGCUCAAUUGACAUGGGCAUUAUUGUGAGGACAUAAUUUCGAGUACCCUGAAACGCAUUGUCCUCCUGUUUAUAGGUUGGAAAGAUGUUAUGAAUAGUUUUAGGCAUUACGUAAAAUAUUAUAUAUAUAUAUAUAUAUAUAUAUAUAAUCUCAAUCUAUGAUUGAAAUUGUUAAAAGAAAUUCUUAAAAAAAUUGAAAUAUUCCACCAUAUCAAUCCACUUCAAAACUUGUAUCUUAACAUCUACAAUUCAUCUCUUAUUAUAAAAUAACAGCCUCAUUCUUAUAAAAAAUAAAAUCUUCAAAAAAAAAAGUACUUGUGGAGGAAAAAAUUUUAAAUGUUUAAAACAUUGUUGUACUGCAAUUGGUGGGUCAAACUGAGGCUCUGCGGCUGUUCAUACCAUGCCAAACUUCAUAUUUCCACCACUUAUUUUAAAAAGAAGGUUUAAAUUUGUCUUCAGUCCCUCUACUCUUCAAACUCUUAAAAUUUAGUACAUUUACUUUUAUUUUUAGAAAUUCAUUUUUUUUCACUUGUUUAAAUUGAAAAUUUAAAUUGAAUUGAUAAAUUUCGAUUAAAUUUAAAUAUGUUUCAUUUGAAUAUUUAAAAGUGGAAAUUCAAUUGAUGACACAUAUUUAAAUUUAAUAAUAUAUAGUCAACAUCGUUAUCAAUUUAUUUUUAAUUUUUAAAUCAAAUAAAUUUCUAAAAUAAAGUCGCGAAAAUGAGGAAAAAGAUUUGAGACCACAAUAUAUAUAUAUAAACAUAUAUAUUAUGGUGGAAUGUGGGAUGUAUUAGAUUGAAGUGGAAGUACACACAAAUUGCAUGUGCAAAAGCAUGGUCGGUUUAUAGUGUUCUAAGUAACCGACACUAGUGGUAGUCGUCGGAGAUCUCUCUCAACCCAUAGCUGUUAUGUGUUAACGUCAAAGAGGGAAAAAAGAAGAAGCACAUACUAUUAACGAAUGAUGUUAUUGAUGAUAUUUAAGUUAGAUAAAUUUUGAGACGAUAGACAUGAUUUAUGAAAAGGGGAACUCUAACUUCGAUAUUAUCAUUAUUGGUUUAAAAUUUCGAGUGGUUUUAGCUUGGAUUUUAUUGAGCUUGUAGACCGAAUUUACUUUCUCGCAAAGUUACACUUGUAUGUGACCAUAUAAACACGUGUUAAGUCUAAAGUAGAAUACAUGUCUACAUACAUAAAACCUAUCUGAUAUAUCAUAUCAAUAAACAGUACACAUAUCAUAUAAAUACAUAAACACCAUUAUCUUAAAAAACGGAGAAAAACACUCAAUACUCCAUUUUUGCCAAUACUACUAAAAUCAUUUUGUCUAUUUAUUAAUAGACCAUAUCAUGUGAUUUAACGAUAUUAUUUAUAUAGGUUUAUAAUUAGCAAGGCGUAUUUGUUAUAUGACACAAUAACCAAUGAUGUUAGGUUGUGUGUUUAGGUUAUAGAAGGAUAUUAAAUUUGGAAUUUAGUUUUUUAUUUUAUUUCUUAUUUUUUGAAUUUAAAAGUUUGAUUGAAAAUAUCGUUACUUUUUUUAAUUAAAUUUAAGAUUAUUAUAAUGUAUUUUUUAUUAUAUGGCUAUUAAAUAAAUAUUUUUUAUUUUAAAAUAUUACACAAAUAAAUUUAAUAAAAAAUUUAGUCAUAAUUAAUAAUUAAAUCAAAAUUUUAAAAUCUAAAAAAUAAAUAAAUUUAAAUUCUUUAAAAUAAAAAAAAAACUAAAUUACAAAUAUCUAAAAAUUAUACAAACUUUUGCGAGGCAGAGUGUUUUGGUUGGAGAAACGCAUAGCAACAUCAUGCGUUCUACGUGCGAAAUCAUAGAAAUUCCACACGAAUAUUCAAUCGUAGUUUUACAACAAACAAAUUAUUAUAGUCUAUUAUUUAAUUUUCAAUCUCUUCAAGCUAUUGAAUUAGUUUUUCUGUUUUGACAAAUUGAUAGAAAAAUUAAUAUUUACUAACUUUGCUGACAAUUGACAUGACAAUUUACGUGUAUACCACGUCAACAUUUAAUUAAUUUUUAAAAAAUUAAAAAAUAUAGAAUAUUAUUAUAAAUUUAUUAUUAAAUCAAUUUUAUUUUUUUGUAAUUUUUAUGUUUUUUAAAUAUUUUUAUAUAUUCUUAUUUUUUGGAAUUUUUAAAAUUUUAAUUAAUUAAUUGUUUAUUUGACAUACACGUGGGCUGCUACGUCUGCAAAGUUAAUUGAUAUUAACUUAUUCAUCUAUUUUUGGGUGAUUUGACAAACGCAAGUUAAAAAAUUAGAAGAGUUGAAAAUUUAAAUAGAUGACUAAAAUGACCUUUUUAUAAAAUUUGAGGGUUAAAUGACUCAUUAUGCCAUAUUUUUAAUGUCAUCAAUUGAUAUAAAUAGAUAACAAUGUUAAAUAUAUUAAUAUGAAAACUUGAUUUUUUUUUUAUUUGAUUCCUAAAUUUGGAUUUUGUUAAGGUAUGAUGGAGUAAGUCACAUCAUCACUUGAAUUUUUUUAAAAUAUAUAAUUUUUUUUUAUUUUUUUAAAUGAUGAUGUGGCGUAAACUCAUAAUAAUAAUUUUUUCUUAAAUAUAACCUUUUCAAUCAUUAUGCUCACACAAUUUCUUAUUUUUUUAUUUUAAGGAUUCUUUAUAAAAACAUUUUAAUCUUAAUGGUUAUAAAUGUUAAUUUUUUAGAUUUCAAUAUAUUAAUUUUUAAAACUAUUUAAUAUUAUUAUGAAAAUAAAUGAAUAAAUUAUUUUAAUUUAAGGUAUAAAAAUUAAAUCUAAAAUAAGACCAAAAUCAUAAUCCAAUCAAGAGUACCGUGAAGUAAUUUUUGUAUGGUACUCGUAACGUCUUUAUUUGUGCCAAAAUUUCCGGAUAUAUAAUCGCUCAAGAUAGCAUAUAAAGUAGAUUUACAGGAGAAAAAUGUGCUAAUAUAUUAAUUUUUUAUAAUACAAAUUAUUUAAGUUCUUUAGAAUCAAUUGCAUCAAAUAUCUCCAAAUUAUGACUUUUAUUUAAAAUAGAUCUUUAACUUUAAAAUAUUUCAAUAAUAUCUUAAUAUUAACGUUGUUAUAUUAACAAGAUACUUCCGUUACUAAUAUUAUUAAUUUAAUCGUUAAAUGAUAUAUUAGAUCUUAUAUGAUAUAAUUUAAAAUAUUAAAAAAAUAAUUAAAAUGAAAAUUUUAAAGAAAAUUGAAUACUGUAAAAAAAUUAAUUAUGAGGUUUUUAAAGCUUUUAUAGAAAUUAUUGUUCAUUCUCUCUUUUUUUAAUUUUACUUUAUUUUUAAUUUUUAAUUUUAAAAUGAACUUGUAUUUUAAUAUUACUAGUGAACACAUGUUUAAACCAUGAAUUUACUAUUUUUAAUUAUUUUAUUAAAAACAUAUAAAAGUAUGAAAAGUGACAUCAUAAUAAUAUUAAUUAUAAUUUAAAAGAAGGAAUAUUUUUGUAAUUUUAUAAUGAAUUGGUAGGAAUAACACCAAGUCAUUUUUUAUUUGUUAAGUUUUAACAUAAUAAAAAUAUUAAAUGUUUCAAAUCAUAGGAUUAUUUGGAGCAAUCACAUAUAUUGUAACUAGUCUGCAUCUAAAUAAGUAAUCAUCUAUUUAAAUUUAAUAUCAAAACAUUAAUUUUUUUUAAAUUGUUGUAAUAUUGAAAAUUGUAAAAUUAUAUCGAUGUUUGGUUCAUCAAUUUUGUAAAUUAAAUAGGUAAUUUAGGUGUAAGGAAUAAAUUGUAAAAUUCCAAUCACUAUAUAUUUUUAAUUGGCCAAAAACUCAGGGAUAUAAAUUGCAAUUAGCUAAAGGUUCAAAAUGGCAAUUAAACUAUUUUAUAAUAUAUGAUAGUGGAUGAUGAUGGGGAUUCCAUUAAGUUUAAUUAGAAGUUAAUUAUGUUAAGUAAAUCAUAAUUUAACUAAUUAAAAAAUUAAUUAACAACUAAUUGAUGUAUGAAUAGAAAAUGUUAGUGGAAAAUCUUUUAUUUUUCUUCCCUUCACCGUCCACCAUUAAUAUAAAACUAAGGAAAAGCUUCAAGUUCUUCAAAUAAUCCGCUAAUUUAUGCCUUUUUCUUGUAAUUUUUAUAGACUUGAGGUUAUGAGAGCUUGAUUUAGCUAGCACAUGUAUCAAAUUGUAAAAAUAUUAAAAUUUUUUGAAAGUUAUCAUUGUUGAUUUAUUGAAGAAUUAGGCUUGAAAUUUAUAGAUUUUAAGCUUAAAUCAUGAGAAGGAUCAGAUUGUAAAAUUAUUUAGCUUAAUUGUUAACUUUGUACAUUAGGGACUAAAGUGAAUAAAAUAUUAAAUUAUUGUGAAAUUUAUGUAGAAAUAGAAAGUAGGGGAUCCCUAAUGAAUGUAUGAGAAGUCAGAUUGUAAACUGAGGUUAAAAAUUGAAAGUAAUGGCUAUUUCGAAUUUAGGGACUAAAUUGAAUGAAAUCUAAAAUUCCAGGGGUAUAAAAAAUGAGAAUAUAUAGUUUCAUUUAUGUCGUGUCAUAACAUGAAAAUAUUUAGUAUUGAUGGAUUGUAUAAAAAUAAUUGUUUAGAUUAAGAAUCUUAUCAAAGUAGAGUUAACCGAUGAAAAACUAAAAUUAUUGAUUAGUCCCGGAAGAAUCAACUUGUUUAGUGUUUUGAACAGGUGAGUUCACAUGGAGCAUAUUAUUUCACUUGGAAUUAUAUGUGCAUGCUUGUGUUUAAUUUAAUGUAUGAAUUUUUGAAUAUAAUUGAAAUAUCUUGGAAUUUAGUGUAACUGGCUAGUAUUGGAUUGAAUUGGAAUAUUGUGUAAAGUUGGUUAUUAUGUAAUAAUAUAUGGUACAAAUGCGUAAAUACUGAUGAUUACAUGAUAUGGAAGCGUUAUAUGUGACCCAUUUACGGGGUGUAUACAUUUAAAGAAAUAAAUAUAUCAAUUUAUUAUAAAUUAGAUAAAUAUAAUACUUUAUGCAUGCAAUAUGUAAGUGUAAAAUGGUUCUACAUUGAUAAUUGUAUUAAUGAUUAGUGAAAAUUGAAUUAAAUGAAUAUUUCAUGUAUAAAAUUGCACAAAAUCAAAGUUUUUGUAUAAAAUUGCACAUUAAAUUAAAGUUUAUGUAUAGUUUUGAGAUUUAUCCCUAAUUUAAUAGUCAUAGCUUUUUUCACCUCUCAAUGUUUUUAUUAGAAAGGCAUAAUAAUAAAUUUAGCCCUCAAUAUUUUACAUAUUUUGUCAUUUUGGCAAUACUCUUUUUUUGAACUAAAUUUGACCAUUAACAUUUCAAAAAGUAAUCAAUUUGCUUUUCUUAAUGAAACUUUUGACUAAAAUGUUAAUUUUUUAAUGAUGUUGGCGUGGCAAUAUAUGCGUGCUUCAUGCUAACAUAAUACUAUUUGUCUUGUACCUCACAUCAAUAAUAACUUCAUAAUUAUAAAAAAAUUCAAAUAAAAAUAACUCAAAAUUAUAAAAAUUAAUAAAAAUUCACAAAAUUAGCAUUAAGUACACGUGGGCUGCCAUGUUUAAAAAAACAACAAUUUAGACAAUAUUUCUAUAAAAAAGAAGAAGCAAUUUGAUUGUUUAAAAAGCUGAUGGUUAAAUUUAACUCUUUUUAAAAUGUUAUAAGCCAAAUUUAACUUAAAAAAGAAUAAGAGUCAAGUUGACAGAAGAUAUAAAAUUAAUAAUCAAAUGUGUGAUUAUGCCUAUUAGAAAUGUAUUUUUAUACAAAAUUACCCCUACUUACAUUCACGGCUUAUGGAAACGGAAAUAGUUAGGAUUUAUAAUAGUAGUAGAGCCAAGGGAGGGCUCUGGCUCCCUAUUUAUAAUUUAUAAAAUUUUAAAUUAGUAAUGAUAAAAUUACACAUUGACCACUCCAAAAAAUAAAAAUUUAAUUUAAUCAUUUAAAAAUUAUAAAAAUAUAUAAUAUUAAAAUGAUGAAAUUAUAUUUUUAUUAUUAUAAAAAAAGUAUUUUGGUGUCAACUUAAUCAUCAAAUUCAUAGCUCUUUUUUGUUUUGUUCAUUAAAUUCAUAACUUUUUAAUCCUUAUCUGGUUUUUGAUCAGACAAAUCCUCAACCAAUCAAAAAAUAAACUCAAUUCAUUACUUCAGCAUUCCAAAUUUAUCAAAAAAUUAUAUAAUAUUUUAAUUAUUUUUGGUACUAUAUACCUACCCCUAAAAUAAGAUUGUACAUACAGGAAAAGUAAAGAAGUAAAAGACUGUAGGGAUGAUGAAAUUUGGAUGCAGAAGAAAAACGCGGCGACCACAAAUUUAAGUGGGAAGCGUAUCAAAUUCAAACACACACACAUACCAUCAAUGCUUUCUCAGCCUAAACUUAAAAUAGUUAUGUUUUAUAUAUAUAUAAAAUGUUAUUUUACAAAAAAAUAUAUAAAUUUUUAAUGAUUUCACAAUUGGAUCAAAAUCUUGGUACAAAUAAAAAAAAUUAAAAAUAAAUAGAAUACAAAUAUUAUAAUGUUUUUAAUGCAAUAUAUAAAACUCUAGUUAAAAUAAAUAUAUCUAGAAAAAGUAACACAUAUUAAAAUUUCUUAUUUUUUAAUAUUAUAAAUACAUUUGUUGUAAAAGAUGUCUUUGAUUUUCAUUUUAAGGGAAAAAAAAAGAAAAAGAGGAUCCCUUAUCUAGUUUUACCCAUUUAUUACCAAACAUCUGGCAAAUUCUUUUUAAUUCUGUCUGAAUUGAUGCACGGUUAAAAGAGAAAGGAAAAGAAUUACCAAAUUUAAACCUCAAAUAAUGAAAUAAUAUUCUAUUAAUUUAAUCAAAAGAUAAUUUAUAAAUACUAAUAACCUUUCUUUAAUAGUUACAAAUAAUUGUAAAUUGAAUAAAAUAUUAUAAUGCACCGUUCUACAAAAAUACGAACUAUUUUAAUGAAAUUGAUGUAAAACUAGGAGUUACGAGUUUAAGAUUAAACUAAAGGAGUAAUAAUCCUAAUAGGUUAGUGAGUAAUGACUUGUCGUCUAAAUCUCUCUCUCUACAAGUAUAUAUAUGUAUGUAUCUGUUAUAUUUUAAAAUAAUAGUUUGGUGGUGUGUAUGAGACUGAGUUCAUUUAUGGGCCUACGGUAAUCCAGGGAACACGACUCUCCACCGCUUAUCACCAAAUCCUUAUCUUUAAUUCCCUUCCUCACUUGUUGUCUUGUUGCUCCACUGUGCACGGUUUCCAUAUCUUUUCUCUCCUCCAUUCCCCAAUAAUUUCUUUCCCUUUUUAAUGUUCUUCUUCUCCCCCAUUUUCACUCCCUUUUAGCUUCAAUUUGGUGGGUUCUUUGGUUUACUUUUCAAGGGUUUCUCUCUUCAAAAAAACCCUCGAGAAAUCUAUGCGCUUAACGCUUACUUUUUGAUUCAUUCGAGGGGUUCUUUUCCUUCUCUUCUUCUUGUUGUUUUAGAGAUGGGUUUGGUGUCUGUUUUUUGGGAGAUUUUAAAGAAACCCACAAUUGGAGAUGUGGUGAGGGAGUUACUGAUUUUUAUAGCUCCUUUAUGGGUUGCUGUAAUUGUUGGGGUUUUAGUUGGUUGGGCAUGGAAGCCGAAGUGGGCAACUAUAGGCAGGGAGAUGUUCAUGGAUUGUUCUGGUUCUAAGGAUUCGGCUCCUGCAGAAUCUUCUGAGUCUUCUUUCAGUGGUUUUGGUUCCCUUCCGAGCUUGAAUUUGAUCAAGUUUCAGUUGCCUAGUGUUAUCUCUUGGAUUUCAGAUGAUGGGGCUCAAAAAGAUUCUUUCUUUUUGUCACCUACUCUUCAUUCCAAUUGCAGGUUUGCAACUCCAUAUUUUGCCUUCUUUAAUAGCAAUUUUGUAGUUGUAAAUGGUAUAGGAGAGGGAAUUCUAAUGGGAAUUGGGAUUGUAUUUGAUUUGAUUUCACCAACAACUAAUGUCUGUUUAAUUGGACAGUUCAUCACAGAACGAGAAGCAAAAACUGGGUUUUCUGACAGAUGAUGAUUUAGAGCAUUUAUAUAAAUUAGUUGAAGAAAAAGAUGGAGGUCCUGCUUGGAUUCACAUGAUGGAUAAGUCCACCCCAACUAUAGGAUAUCAGGCUUGGCAAAGAGAUCUUGAGGUAUCAUUUCCUCUUCCUGUUAUUUAAUUUAUCAGAACCAGUAAAAAUCGAAAACUUAUUAUAAAUAACCCUGCUGGUUGUGUUUGGGAUUCAUUUGCUGUGUUGAAUUAUGCUUUUUAUUGCUUGUUAGAUUGGUCCUACACAAUAUCGUAGCCGGACUGUUUUCGAUGAUGCCACUCCUGAGAUGGUGAGGGAUUUCUUUUGGGACGAUGAAUUCCGAUCAAAAUUGAAGUGGGAUGAAAUGCUUCUUAGUGCCGAAACUCUCGAGUCGUCUCCCACUGACGGCACCAUGGUGGUCCAGUGGGUUCGAAAGGUUCGUAAUAGGUUUUCUAAUUGUUUCUUUUUCUUUUUGGUUGACUUUUGUUGUUUCUAAAGUUGUUUUAUAAGAUGUUCUCUGGUUUGUAGUUUCCCUUCUUCUGCAGUGACAGAGAAUACUUGAUAGGUCGUCGGAUUUGGUCAUGUGGUCGGACAUAUUACUGUGUUACAAAGGUAACAUCCUAUUCUGGUCCCUGGUUUUCGAUUUUGAUUAAAAUCCUGGAAGUUAACAAGUCUUUCCUAUUUUUUCCCUAUAUUGUUCUGUUUUCUGCAUUCCUGGUUAGAAAUAACUAGGCUGCAGCCGAUAGUCUGACAUUUGACCAAAUAUUAGUGGGAACAAUAUACCUUUUACAUUUAUAAGAUCUUUUAUGUUGUGAACAAAAAUGAAAAUUGUUCUAACCUCAUUAAGGGAACACUUGACGAGAUUGUUUCCUAAGCUUUGAAUUAAUCUUAUUAUUUCUUAGCUUAAUCAUCUUAUCACCUAAUAAUAGGUCGAUGACUAUUAAGUCUAAAACACUUCAUGCCAUGACAACAUCAUUUGGUCAAAUUUGUUUUGUAGCUAACUUAGUAGUAUGUUUUGUCCCGUUUCAGGGAGUACCAUAUCCCUCUAUUCCUAGAAAAACCAAACCUAGGCGUGUUGAUUUAUACUAUUCAAGUUGGUGCAUUCGUGCAGGUAAUGGACUUUUCAACCCAACCUAGUUUAAAAUUGUUUUUAAAUUGUUCCUAUGCUGUUAGGAAGUUUGAAACUUGUAUUUUCUUAGUAGUAUGCAAUUCGUUUCCGGGGAUAAAAAAAAUGGAGAAUGUAUAACUCUUUGUUUAGAUGAAUUUUCUAGGAAUAUCAUGUUUGAGUUUAUACAAGUCUGCCAAUAAUUUGUAUGCAUCACGUUUUGAACAGCUGAAUCAAGGAAAGGGGAUGGCCAGCUGACUGCGUGCGAGGUAUUACUUUUUCACCAUGAAAAUAUGGGUAUACCUUGGGAAAUUGCAAAGCUUGGGGUCAAGCUAGGCAUGUGGGGAACUGUCAGGAAGAUUGACCCUGGCUUACGUGCAUAUCAAACCGAAAGAGCAUCGGGAGCGCCCCUUUCUCAUUCAGCUUCCAUGGCUCAAAUAAACACCAAAGUAACUCAAGACUAUCUGACAUCCUUGGAAAGCAAUAGUAAUGAUUCAUCAGAGCUUGAAACACACAAUUCGUCUGAGAAACCAGGGAAGAACAACAUUCCCAAACUUGUAGUUGUUGGUGGGGCUAUCGCGGUUGCAUGUAUUCUAGAUCGAGGGCUCUUAACCAAAGCUGUUAUAUUCGGAGUAGCCCGAAGGUUUGCAAAAAUCGGAAGAAGGUUGUAAUCCUGAAUAUUUUUGUGGGUCAAUCGAAGGAAACCGCACCCACCAGCAAAGCAGAUUGCCAUUGCAAUGAAGUGAGAUGUUGGGGAUGGAUGAAUCUUCUCACUUAGCCGCGUUUAAAAGGUUGGAAGAUGGAAAGAUUAUAUUAGUUUUUGCAAUAUUUGGG
rnacentral:lncRNA from 1 species